AACUGGAUGGCGCUAACUAAAUGACAAGUUGAAACGGCAUCUGCAAUCGUAUUGAAUGACAUUGAACCGCGAGGUAGGGUUUAAAUGAAUACCGAGCAGAGAUAAAUUGGUGUGGUGAAUUAGGGUUUUGUGGCUACGUUUUAUUUCGAUUGAAAAAAGGAAUUUGAGCUUUUGCUUUAAUACAACGGUGUCGUUAAUUUAAACAUUCAUUUUAGGUUGCAGUGGCCAGUGGAGAGAGGGGGAUUCAUUCAACGCUUAGCCAAAAUUUGGCUGUAAGUGUUGAUGUGUUUUAAGUUAUACAGAACGGUGUCGUUAAUUUAAACAAUACUGUUUUACAAUCUUAUAAGAUCACAAAACCUAAGCAUGACUUAUAUGUAUCAUUUAUUUAGGACGGUUAAGUUAUAAGUCAUGAAUAUGUCAUAUAUUCUGGACAUAUGAAUAUAUAUUAUGAAUCUAUUAUAUUUUUAUGACACAUUCGUGACACAAUGAUAUAUGUCAUCAAAUUUAUGUCAUUAUUUAAUAUUUUUCUAGUGGUGUCAGAUUUUUGAAACAUUUUUGUUAAUAGCAAAAACUCUAAUCCUUUAGCAAAAGACUAAAAAUUAAAAAAAAAAUCUGUUUAAAUAUCAGUUGGCUCAUGAUCAACACUUCAAUACUGUUUGUUGUAUUUUCUUUCUUUCUUUCUUUGUCAUUUUAUUAGAUUUUUUUUGUAUCAUAGUUUGUUUUGCUUAAGUAAUUGUUCAUUGUUUAUGUCUGUGUUCUUACUAACAGAGUAAAAGAUUUUGAGAGAAUGAAUUGCACCCUUUUCCAUUGAUUGUAAGACUUUUAUAUGCAGCAAUAUAUAUAACAACUGUGCCUAUUUUAAAGAGAUAAGAUAACAGAAAGAUAUACUUUACAUUUGAAUUAGUUUGAAUGAGUAAACUAGAUAGGUCCCAUAUUCUAAGAGGAGAAUCUGCUGACACUUACUGGCUUUUGAUAAUUUAUGGUUGGUUUUUUAUUCAGACCCUCGAAGUACCUUUUUGUUAAUAUUAAAACCUCUGAUCCUUAAGAAAGAAAAAGAAAUUCUCUAUUUAGUUAUUAGUUAGUUCAAGAUCAAUAUAGCGAUAUUGUUUGUGGUCUUUUCAUUCUCUAUCUUUCCCUCUAGUUCAUUUUAAUUUAUUUGUAUUCCUUUCUUUGACACUUGUAUUUAUAUAUAUAUAUUGUUAAGCAACAGGCAAUGGCUGUUGAAGGGUGUCUCCCUGCUUUUUCCAGCAUUGUAUCACAAGGUUCAAAAGCAUUAUUCGAACCGAUUAUGCGGCACAUAUCUUAUGUGUUCGAUUACCAAAGCUACAUAGAUGGGCUAAAAGAUUGAGUGAAGGAGCUGGAAUAUAUAAGAGAAAGGGUGCAAACGCUGGUUAGAGAGGCUACUCUACAAGGAGAUGAGAUUUAUAAGGGUGUCUGAGACUGGCUAAAUAGAGUUGCUGAAUUCAGUGAAGGGGUUGCAAAAUCCAUCAUUGAUGAUAAAGAUAGAGCUAAGAUAGAGCUAAGACUGAGCAUGAUUGCAAAUGCACGAUUGCAAAUGCAUUGGAUCAAUUAAGAAGUUCCAAUCUAGGAGAAAUUCAAGGAAUGCGUGCAGAUGUAUAAACCUCCAUAAAAUUGUUACGACUUGAAGGAUUGUAUAUAAGCAUUAAAUUGAUCUAAUUUAAUUUGUAUGUAAACAUUAAAUUGUAUAUAAAUACACAGAACAGAACCAUAUCAGUGUUGGAAAAAAAAAAAAAGAAUCCAGAGUUAUAUAAAUUCAAUUAAAAAUUACUGAAUUUUUUAUUACUAACUUUGAACACUCUAAUUUCAAUAAAAAAAUUAUAUUACUAAAAUAGUCUUAAUUGAAUUUACUAUUAAAGACAUUAGAAUAACUCAACACUAAUAUUCUAAAAUAUAUUUCUCUCCAUAGUCUAAUCUAAUCCAUUCUAAGAAUCCUAUAGAAAAUAUAUUAUUUACUUUUUCCUUAUUAAACACAAAAACAUGUCAUUUUGUUGCUAACUAAAAUUUUGGAACUAACAACAUCAGAUUAACAAAAUUAUCAGAAAAAGAAAUCAAACAAGAUUUUAAUUGUCGUCAUCUUCACUCUUGUCUUUUUCUUUUUCUUCACACAUGUGGCUUGCACACGCAUUCCCCUCUCUCAUCCUUAGGGCCGCCCUUCAACAAUAUCCAAUCAUCGAUUAUAAUUAUUUAGAUUGACCAAAUCAAGCAUUGAUCAUAUAUUGGUUGAGGUUAGAAAUAGGCAGGCAGCAGCAAUAAUACUACUAAUUAAUAUCUCAUGAGAAUUUUAAAGAAAAAUCUAACGUUGUCAAAUUCGUUUGAUUUCAAUGAAGUCUUUCUCCUACUUAUACUUUCACAUAUUCUCUUUUAUUUCCAAAGUUAAGGUUAUGGAUGUUGUAGAGUAAAAAGAUGAACAUUGCUAGGAAAGCAAUAAAAGGAAAUAAAUAAAAAUUAAAAAUAUAAAAAGAGUUAAGUCAUUUUUUUUUCUAUUAGUGUUUUUGUAUUUAAUAACGAAAGAUAAAAAUAAAGUAGAUAUUAUCUAUUGGAUUAUUAAAAUAACACAGGUAUAACACAUGUCAAAAUCUCGUUAUUAUAAUAUUAGAAAAGAUUAAAUUAGGAGAAUAUUCAAAUCGGCGAAAUAAUUAAUAAAUCGUAUUUAUUAAUCAUCCACCCAAUUCAUGCAUACCCAAAUGGCCGUCAACGAGCUAACCAAAUCCCAGCUUGUUGUAAUCUGGGUUGGGCUUUUUGGGCGAUAAUUAACUGCCCGAGCUGCUCAUCUACCCCAAUAGAGCCUAACAAAAAUUUUCGCCUAAGCUUCACAAAAAUGUUCAUAAAUCUUUUUUUUUUUGGUAUCAUAAAAACAUAAAUUUAUUUCAAACACUUUUGGAGCUUAAUAAAAAUUUCCCAACAUUUCAUCUGACAAAGGUAGUUUAAAAGUGUAUUCGUUAAAUUCUAAAAUACAUACUUAAAAUCUUUUAGUGACAAUCUAAUUAUAAAUUAAGGAUCUAUUUGGGAUUGAGAUUGAACAGUUAAAAUGUUAUAGUUGUUGUAGUUUAGAAGUUAAGAUGAUUUGAUUUUACACUUAUAUGAUAAAAAAUUUAUUAUAUCUUUUCUAAUUUUAUCAAAAUUAUUAUUAAAAAAUUAUAUUUAUUAUAUACUAUUAACUUUUAUUUUAUACUUAAAACUUUUUUUUCUUACGGCAAAAGUUUUAGCACCUCAAUACCCAACCAAGUCUAAAACUGCACAAUAAUAAUUAUGAGUGCGAAUGUUAAAAUCUACACACAUUCGUACUUGAUAAUUUCAAUCAACAGUGUUACAAACUUAAUUAAAAUAUUAUAUCUGAAAUUAUUGAGGGGAAAAAAAAGAAAAAGAAUGUUGUUUUCAUGAUAGUGACAUGUGUCGUGCACAUUUUGCUGUUGGCUCUUUGGUCUCUAACCUAGCGAAUAGGUUGUUGUGUCCUCGUUGUUAGAUGCCCGAACAGCAGCGCAAGAACUUUGUACUAUACCAUAUAUUUUAUGAAGGUGGUGAUGUUACAAAUAAAGACGAGUAAUAAACCAAACGGCGUCGCUUUGCUAGCCUGUUAGAACUAUCAACGCGCUCUGCCGCCCUCUCGUUCCAUUUAUUCAUUUAACCCGGUCAGGGGAUUGGCGAAUUAAAUAAACAACAACAGUCGUCCGAUCCACACAGAUCGCCACUCAUAUUUAAUCCAACGGCUGGGAUAUGAACCCCUCUAUAACUUUUAUUUGUCGAAUCAGCCGCUCUCUCUAUUUAAAUUAAUUUUUUUUUCAACAGCCGACGAGUGCUGACGUAUCAGAGACGCCCCAUCAAUCAAUAAAAAAAUCAAUUGAAAAGGACGGUAUAGUGAGUGGAAGAGAAAUGCCAAUGGCAGAUCAAGGGAUGAAGAUACGAGCUCACUUGCAACGAGGUAUAGUUCAUCAUGGCUUUCCUAUAAGUUCAGGUCCUUAUGAAUACUUUCAAUGAUCUUAUUAGUCAGAAAUUCAACAAUAAUUUUUACUUUUUACAUCCAGGAACAGUUUUAAGCACAAGCAACUCAGGUGGUCAAUAGGCCUCAUAUGUUAGCAAGGUCUCCGUUUUGGUCACUUAAGUCCCAUAUGUUAGGAAGACUCCCUUUUUAUUUUUGGUAUUACUUAUAAUAGCAAAUCCUCUUUUUUAGGCCUCUUUUUAUUUAGUAAUUAUCUUAUAAUGAAGAAUUUUGUUACACAUUUUAUAUUUGAUAACCUUAAUAUUAAAGAUCUCUAAUUGAUAGUAUUAUCUAAUUGUUAAUUUAUUAUUAGUUUUUCCAAAAAAAAUAAAUUCUUUAUCUAUUUAAAAAGGUUAAUUAAUUAACAUUAUAAAAAAUUUUGUGAUAUUCUCUACACAGAAAAUUAUUACAUUUAUUACUUCACUUCUGAAUUAAAAAAAAAAGAUUUAUUGAAAUAAUAGUUCUAGAGGAGGUAAAAAAGAUAUCUUCUUGAUUAUUUUUCUUUUUUGAACAUUUUAACUAUCUUGUUGAUUGUUAAUAUUCACGAUAUAGUUAAAAAUUGAUUGAAUUCUAAGCUCUUUUAUGUUUCUUUAGGUGUUGAAGCUGCUGAAUGUAGGGAGCCCUCGUAAAACAAUUCCCAUAAUGCCCCUAAUACUCUAAGGUCGACCCUGUGUAUAUCAUAUUAUUGAAAAAAAAUUGCUUCAAUACAGUAUGUGGUAAGGUUUAAUUUUAUAUGAAUUUAAGCUGAAGUUGGUACCUUUUAUUGUUUAAUACCGUGACAUCAGGGAAAUUUUUAAUAGGUCUUCAUUUUAGGCUAAAGUACCCGAACAAUACUUCCCAUGCACUUUGUGAUCUUAUUACAAAAUCUUAAACUAAAUAGCUGUGGAAGUAACAAAGAGGGCAACUUUUUACUAUAAUGUGAUGAAAAUAAUUCAUUUGUCAUCACGAACUAACCAAAUCAAAACAAAAAACUAAUGAUCAUAUGGUUCAAAUCUGUGCAACAAUGGUGCAUUUAAAAGGAAAUAAUGUACAGAUAAAAUUUGUGCUUGUAACAAGAACUCUUCUCUUCAAGCCAACAAUUCCACCUAGCAGAGAGAAGUGUUUUAGGCGACACUUUCCAACUAAUGAAAGCAGUGAGCUCUCAAACUCUGUUAUCAUUUUCUACUACUUGAAAAAGAGAGAAAGAGAAACGAGAGGAAAAACAUGGCUCCUCUGUUUUCAUUUUGGUGAUUGCAAAUAACAUUUUUUUUUUACUUUUACUCUUUAUUUAUUUAAUUUUAAAAAAAAAACUUUUAGCUCAUUAGAUCUUGUUCUUGUUAAUGCUUCUAGUAACUUAUAUGAUGAUCUGAUCAUAUCCGUAAAAUUAACAUACCCAUAAUCCAUUAUUUUAUAAUUAUAAAACUUGAAAAUUCGGUCAUGCAAUUUUGUAUGAUGAACAGUGUGUUCAUUUUUUCUGUGAAACAUAAGAACAAUUUGUAAAUAAUGUCCAUGCGGACCUUGUAAUAGCGAAGCAUCAUUAUUGAUCUUACUUUGAUGAUCGCACUUUAGUUUCUUUUUAAAGUGCCUUUUGUUUAUUUUAUCGGCAUCCGCUUUUACAAAAGUUUUGGUCCUCGUUCAUUCAUCAAAGCUUCUACUUUUAUCUUUUAUUAGGCAUCUUAUAAAAAGCUUAAUUUAAUUGGAAUCAUGUUCGGUAUGAAGAUUGUUUUACUUACUUCAGCAAUCUUUCAAUCAACCGAAUUUAUUCUUUUCUGAUCUGGAAAUUAUUCAUGAAAAAAUAGGCGCGUCAGUAGGACAACAGGGACCAAGUACAUAAUAUGAAAAUUCAUUUGUAUUGCUUACUCUAAUAAGCUCUUAACUCACACAUUCCUCUGCAGUUACCAGUGAUCUUUUGCUCACUAAAAUUGUUAUUAUAUAUUCAAGGUGAAUAAAGAAACUCAUCAUCCCAGAUAAUUAAAGAGGUGAACUUGUUCUAAAUCCUUUAAUAAUUUCUAUUAAUAAUAGCAUAUAUAAUCUCUAAUCCUUGAUCUUGGUAGUAGUUCUUUCUUAAUGUCCAAGAAAAAUAUCUCUCAUUUGUCUUAAUCUUGUCAGUUAAUUUUCUUGAAUUCUGAGUUAGUGUUUAUUGUUAAAUUCGGUUUUCGGUUAGUAGCCAUUGGUUAAUAGCUUCGGUUAAUCCUUGAAUUAAACAUAUUAAAAUCUAAUCAUAAACCCGCCUUUCCCUAUUUUACAACACCCUUUAUGUAAUAGUGACUUCAAAAGUGUAACAUAUUUUGAACAAUUGCAAGGAAAGAACAUAUUUGACACUUCACGAAACGGCUAAGAUAUAAGCUUCAAUUCUUGUACAACAAAUUAAUAUAACCAACUUCAACCGUCAAUUGAUCAAUAAUUCAGUAACAAAAAGGGACAGAUAUCCUAGUCUUUCUUUACUAAUGAAGCAAGCCAUUAAACUUCGAAAGCUAUUUCUAUUUCCACAUUCUUCAUGUACCAAAGCAGGAAAAAUAAAAAAAAAAAGCAACAAAAAUUUGGAAGUAAUCGUCUUUAUUCAGCAGCAUGCAUAUUAAUUAAACAUAUUAAAAAAGAGAUAUACAAUAUCAGGUCUGGAGACGAAAUGAGCCCACAGAGACUACCAAUAAUGUAACGGCUUGAUUAAAAAUAUUAAUCAAGCCACUACAUUAGAAGAACAAGAGUUAAUCAUGCAUAGUAAUUAAAAAUAUUUUUGCUAUCAUCCACCUGUUCUCUCUAAAUAGUUGUCCCUUUUUUUUUUCUUUUGCCUGAAAUUCCAAGCAAAAAUAUAAUUAGAAGAUCAAGAGUUAAGGGUUAAAAAAAUGGAAAAAGAGGGCUCCUCUGUUUUCAUUCCCCUGUUUUUCUGUUCGGUGAUUACAAAGAUUUAAAUCAAAAUUUAUGAUGCAGGCUACACGGCACCUGGUGGAAGACUGCUAGGGUUUACCUUUUAUUCUUAGUUAGAAAUUUAAUUUAGAAUUUGUAGUGUGCGCCUUAUAUAAGUAGGUUUCCUAAUAGUAAAAUUAAAUAAUCAACUUUAUGAUGCACUAGGAUAUGGUUGUGAUAAAUGAGCUUUUUAUGUAUCCUGUGAGGCUGAUUAUUAUUUUAUUACAUUGAAGAUUCAGUUAUCUCUUGGUAGUCUUGUGACUCAAGCGGAUUUAGUUAGUAGUAGGUAAUACUCUGGACUUCACAUACUAAACGGAAUGGAGCAUUAUUUUAUCCCGCUAAAUCAGUUUUUUUUUUUUUUAAUUAAAAAAUAAUUCAUCAAACACUUUAUAGCUCUGGUUUUAACUUGGUAAACACUUUAAGCCGCAACUUUAAAUUCAGUUUACGAGAACUCCUAACAGUCACUGUGGCUUGGGUAGAAAUGAAUAUACUAGCAUAAGUAAUGCUACCCAGGAAAUGUAGUUGAACCUAACCAAACUAAAACCAGAUGAUGAAAGCUUAUAUACACCAAGAGAUUUAUUCGUUUCUGAGUUUGUUUCCAGAAACCCGGAACCUCCCCUGUUUCUACAAACACGGCACCUUUGUUUUCAUUCCCCUGUUUUUCCAUUUGGUGAUUGUAAAAAUCUAAAUCUAAAUCUAAAUUUUUGAUGCAGUCUACACGGCACCUGCUAGAUGAUUGUUUGGGUUUAUCUUUUAUUCUUAAUUAUGAAUUUAAUUUAGAUUCGUAGUGUGCGCCUUAUGAAAGAUUAAAUAGAAUAAUGUGAAAAAAGAAAGAAUGCCUUUCUUAAUUUUGACUUCAUAAUGUUGCAGUAACCGUCCUCUCUUAUCAUUCCCCUGUUCUUUGGUUUGGUGAUUGCAAAUAACAUUCUUUGCAUCUACUCUUUAUUUAUUUAUUUUUUUAAUUUUUAGCUCAUUAAUUCUUGUUCUUCUUAAAGUGUUUAGUAAAUUAUAUGAUCACCUGAUCAAAUCCCUCACAUUAACUCUAAUCCUUUUAGAAAAGACUAAAAAUUAAAAAAAAUAUGUUUAAAUAUCAGUUGGCUCAUGAUCAACACUUCAAUACUGUUUGUUGUAUUUUCUUUCUUUCUUUGUUUGUCAUUUUAUUAGAUUUGUUUUGUAUCAUGGUCUGUUUUGCUUAAGUAAUUGUUCAUUGUUUACGUCUGUGUUCUUACUAGCUUUUGAUAAUUUAUAGUUGGUUUUUUAUUCAGACCUCGAAGUACCUUUCUGUUAAUAGCAAAACCUCUGAUCCUUAAGAAAGAAAAAGAAAUUCUCUAUUUAGUUAUUAGUUGGUUCAAGAUCAAUAUAGCGAUAUUGUUUGCGGUCUUUUCAUUCUCUAUCUUUCCCUCUAGUUCAUUUUAAUUUAUUUGUAUUCCUUUCUUUGACACUUGUAUUUAUAUAUAUAUAUUGUUAAGCAAUAGGCAAUGGCUGCAGAAGGGUGUCUCCCUGCUUUUUCCAGCAUUGUAUCACAAGGUUCAAAAGCAUUAUUCGAACAGAUUAUGCGGCACAUAAAUUAUGUGUUCGAGUACCAGAGCUACAUAGAUGGGCUAAAAGAUCGAGUGAAGGGGCUGGAAUAUAUAAGAGAAAGGGUGCAAAUGCUGGUUAGAGAGGCUACUCUACAAGGAGAUGAGAUUUAUAAGGGUGUCUGAGACUGGCUAAAUAGAGUUGCUGAAUUCAGUGAAGGGGUUGAAAAAUCCAUCAUUGAUGAUAAAGAUAGAGCUAAGAUGUUCUGCUUCAAAGGGUUGUGCCCAAAUUUGAUUUCUCGUUACAAGCUUGGUAAACAAGCAGCAGAGGCCGCAAACGAAGCUGAUAAACUUGUGAAAAAAGGCGAAUUUAACAUCUGUAAUCAUGUUUCCUACCGUCCUGCUCCAGAGAGUACAGAAUAUGUGCAAGUGAAAGAUUACGUAGCCUUUUAUUAUAAUAUCUUUUCACUCUAUUAACUUAAAAAAGAUUGACUUCAAUGUUAAAAAUGUAACAGUAUAUACAUUUUAUAAUAAUUUCAAUAUUUAAAAAAUAUUUGAAUACUUUACAAUCUUAUAUUAUAUUAAACUAAAUUUUAUAAUAAUUAGAAACAUAAUAUUAAAAUAAAUAUAUAAAAUUUUAAGUUAGGCUUAAUAUUAUUUAAAAUAAUUUAAAUAUCAUUAAUAGAUGAGAUAUAUUAUAUUAAUUAUAAAUUCUAUUUAAUCGAAAUAUAUAUUUAAAUUUUUUAUACUAAAAAUAGAUAUAUUAUUAAAAUAAAUAUAACAACUAACAUUUUAAAAAUUAACACUGAAAUUAAAAUUAUAAAUUAUAUUAAUCUACUAGAAAGAUUAAUCUAUUUGACACUAGCAGCGGACAAUGAGGUCACGGCAUAGGACAAGCAGUUAUCGUGACCCAUGGACUUUUCUACUUCUUUUGAAAAAAAAAUCAAAAUCAAAAUCAAAGUCAUUGAAGUGCGUUUGAUGAUUUGCUGUUUAGCUUCUCUCUCAAAUGCUUUUUGAGUGCCUCCGGCAUCUGCUUUUAUAUAAGCUUUUGUCUUUAAUCAUUUAUUCAAGCUUUCGCUAAGAGUGAUGCAGCACAGCACAUAAAUAUAGAAGCAUUGACAGCCGGUCAGGAGCUCUUCGGUAUUUGAAGCAAGAAUGAUUGUUUGGCUUUGUGCAUUGAAAGAGAAAAGAAAAUGAAAGACUUAUUUCAUUAAUACAAUUUAAUUAAUUAAUUUAAAAUAAUAAGCAUAUAAUAAUGAUGAAAUUAAUUAAUAAAAAGAAGAAAAUGAAAAUUGCACGUGCUAUUAGCAUAAACCAAUUGCCGGAAUGAGGUCACUUUGUAGACAAAUGAUUCUGGAAUCAGAACUUGGGCCAGCUUUGGGUUAUGGAUCCAAAAUAAAAAAAGGUGGGCCCCAUGGUCUCUUAUGAUCAAUAAAAAUCGAUUGAAAAGGAUGGUAUGGUGAGUGCAAGAGAAAUUUCGAUGGCAGAUCAAGGGAUGAAGAUACGAGCUCACUUGCAACGUGGUAUAGUUCAUCAUGGCUGGCUUUCCUAUAAGUUCAGGUCCUUUGAAUACUUUCAAUGACCUUAUUAGUCAGGAAUUUAACAAUAAUUUUUAUUUUUUACAUCCAGGAACGGUUUUAAGCAUAGGCAAAUUAGGCCUAUAAUUAAUAGCAAAUCCUCUUUUUUAACAAUUAAACAAUUAGGAAGUCUCCCUUUUUAUUUUUGGUAUUACUUAUAAUAGCAAAUCUUUUUUUUUUUUUUUUUUUGGUUGUAAACCAUCCGGUGUGCCACGACCGCAUUGGGCCUCGAUUAAUCCGGAUUCGGAGUGUAGUCACAGUUAAGGCUCUUUACCCCUCCCAAAUGGUGUGUUUAGUGGGGAUCGAACCCGAGAGCUCUUCCCACAAACUCAGCCUGCACUGCCAACUGAGCCACAACCAUUUGGUAGCAAAUCUUCUUUUUUAGGCCUCUUUUUAGUUAGUAAUUAUCUUAUAAUUAAGAAUUUUUAUACACAUUCUAUAUUUGUUAACCUUAAUAUUAAAGAUCUCCAAUUGUUAAUUUAUUAUUAGUUUUUCCAAAAAAAAAUUAAAUUCUUUAUCUAUUUAAAAAAUUUUAUUAUUUAACAUUAUAAAAUUUUUUGCUCCAUUCUCUAUAAAGAAAAUUAUUACAUUUAUUGGUUCACUUUUGAAUUAAAAAAAAAAGUUUAUUGAAAUAAUAGUUCUAGAGGAAGUAAAAAAUAUAUCUUCUUGGAAAUGUUUCAAACCCAUGAGCUUGGAUUUGUUUGAUAAUUUGUCGAAUUUGCCCACAUAUGAAAUUAGUAUGAUUUUACAGGUUAUAUUAUUUUAUUGGCUACUUCAUUAAAAAAAAAAAACACACACACACAGACACAAGGAUUUUUAUUUGAUGGUAGAAGUUAAGUUGUUUUUCAGUGAUAAAUAAUGUUGUUAACCAAAUUUAAUUGACAUUCUACGCGGCAGUAAUUCAAUUUUAUAGAAGCACGUGGAUUAAAGGACAAAAACACAUCAAGUAUUUAAUAUUGGAUAUGGAUAUGAAUUUUAUCCGUAUAGAUAUGGAGAUCCAUGGAUAUCCACGGAUAUUUUAUUUUUAUUAGGGAUAUUAUCAUUUUCCUACCAAAGAUAUUCUGACACAUCAUGUCAGUACCACGAUUUGGUAAAACCAUCAAUUUACCACUAAAUGUUUAAACUGUUAGCAUUUUCCCACCAUUCCGUUAAAACUCAGUUAAUAUGUAACAGAAAAUUCAUAAAAGGUCAAUUUUACCCCUGAAGCGUAAAAUGCCAUGUAAUUAACCUUUUAUAAAUUUUGUAAUUAAAUCAUCAUUUACUGUUCUUCUUUCUUAAUGGGCAAAAAUUACCCUUUAUGAAUUUUGUAAAAUUGACCGUGUGGUGCUAGGUACUUCAUAAAUUGAUUUAAUUUAUUUAAUUUUUAAAGGGCAAAUUUAUUUAUUUAAUUUUUUGUGUAAAAUUAUUAUCAUCAUAUCAAAGAUUAAAUUGCUUCUUUUGCACAUUCUUUUUUUUCCCUUUCAUAAAUUGAUUUUUAGUAGUAGAAUAAAUUGUCUUUAGCUCGUCAAUUUAAUAAAUAAAUUUAAUUAAAUGAGUGCGGAUUAGGUCAGUGGCAGAUAAAAGAGUCGGUUUUUCCAUUACUAAGCUUUUCAUGGAUGAAAAUUUUAUUUAUUUUUUUUGGUUUUAUAGGGUCUCUGUGAAUGCCAUUAGAAAUGAAAUUGACUAAUUCAAGCUUCCUUUUUCCCCUUAACUGACUGUGAGAGGCCAUCAAUCAGCUCUGUUUUGUAUUUUUGUACCUUUUUUUUUUUCGUAUAAUGAUCAAUCAAAUGUUAGCCCUUAGAUUGCAUCCAAUAUUUACUGAUUGUCUUAUAUUAGGAUAUAAACUAAAUUCAUAAGACAUUCCCUUAUUGAUAUUCAUUCCGACACGUCCUAGUCCUUUGCCUUGUAGAAAUGCUUGUGGUUGAAGAGCUUUACAGAGAAGCUGUCGUCAGUACUGCUGGGAAAUUUAUUAUAUUGAAUCAGAAAACUUGACCAGAUAAAGGCUGUGUGCAUGGGAAUACUUGAGGAAAUAUGAUUUACAUAUACCACUUAAUAUUUUACAAUCUCGUAUUCUAUUAAAUGUAAAUAUGAUUUACAUAUAAAAUAAUUUUCAAUAUCAUAUAAAAUAAUUUUAAUAUUAUUAAAACAUGAGAAAUAUUAUAUUAAUUAUAAAAACUAUUUAACCCAAGGAUUUGUUUAAAAUUUUUAUAAUAAAUAUAUUAAAUUACAUUUUAAAAAUUAAUUAUUUAAAUUAUACAUACUAGUCUACUAGAAAAUUUAAACUAUUUAAAUCAUAUUUACAUUUAGUAAAAAAAUUUGAAGUCAUUUUUUUUUGUGGCUACCAUAAGAGUACUAUAGUCAAAAAGGGUAUUGGUGUUCUUUAUUAAAAUUUUGGGGUCUGCAUGACUAUUUUCUAAAAUUUUAAGGGUGUCAUUUUAUUUUUGGAAAAAAAAUAAAUUUCAUUUAAAUAGCUAAAAUGGUAAAUAGUAGAAUGCUACAGUGGGCGUAAAUAGAAGGUAAAAAGCAAUCAGAUUUUGAUUAAACAUGCAAUGUAUGAAAUAUAUAUUAUGAUUAAACAGAUUUUGAUUAUUUAAUAUUAAAUUAUAUUCACAUUAAUAUCUUAAGGAUAGGUAAUACUCAAAUAAUUUUAAAAAAAAUCAAACCCAAAUUAUAUGCAUUGCUAAUGUGCGUUAUUGUCUAAUAUUUGGAUUUUGCUAAGUCACAACUACUGUAACUUACGGACUCUUCAAACAUAUGUGGAUCCCACCACAUGUUAAAUUUUUUACAUUAUUUUUUAAGGGACUGUAAGUUACAACAGCUUAACCUAACAACACCCUAAUAGUUCACUUUACUUUUAUAUCUUUACAAAACAAUGCCAACAAGACAACAAUGUAUGAAAUAAAUAAAAUAAAUAAACAAAGAACUGACAGCGAAAUUAGGGCUAUCAUUGGUUUCUCGUGGUGUGAACUCUUGACAAUCCUCCCCGAUCCCAUCCAAAACUCCCGCGUAGUGUGAACAUUUGACGAUUCUCCCAUAUCCCUCCAAAAAUUUGUCAUAUUACAAAAAGCAAUGUCAAUUGCAAUGUCGUUUCCAUUAGUCAUAGUGGCAGAUAGGACUAGAAUUUGUUGAAACCCCUGGACUUAUUUUUCCUUUUGAAAAUAAUUUUGUAGAACCUCAUAUCGGGAAUAACAGACAAUAAGACUCUUUUUUUAAUUAUAAUAUAUUUUUUUAAUUUAUUAACUAAAAAAAUUAAUUUUAAUAUUUUAUAAUAAAUAUAAGCAGGAUAUUAAAAUAAAUAUAAUCAUAUGUACAUAUUAAAAUAUUUUAAUACCUAAAUAUAUUUUAAUAUUUUACAAUCUCGUAUUCUAUUAAACCAAAUUUUAAUAAAUAGAGACAUAAUAUUCAAAUAAAUAUAUAAAAGUUUUACUUAUUUUCAAUAUCAUAUCAAAUAAUUUUAAUAUUAUUAAAACAUGAGAAAUAUUAUAUUAAUUAUAAAAUCUAUUUAACCCAAGGAUUUGUUUAAAAUUUUUAUAAUAAAUAUAUUAUUAAAAUAAAUAUAUUAAAUUACAUUUUAAAAAUUAAUUAUUUAAAUUAUACAUACUAGUCUACUAGAAAAUUUAAACUAUUUAAAUCAUAUUUACAUUUAGUAAAAACUUUUGCAGUCAUUUUUUUUUUUUUUGUUACCAUCUACUAAGAGUACUAUAGUCAAAAAGGAUAUUAGUGUUCUUUAUUAAAAUUUUGGGGUCUACAUGGCUAUUUUCUAAAAUUUUAAGGGUGUCAUUUUGUUUUUGGAAAAAAAAUAACAAUUUCAUUUAAACAACUAAAAUGGUGAAUACUACAAUGCUACAAUGGCGUAAAUGGAAGGUAAAAAGCAAUCAAAAUGACCAACAGUCUAACGCCUCAGCAAGGACAUAAGGUCAAAGUUUGUUACAUGUGGUCAGAGCCAUUUAGUCUGUGAGUGGGUCUUUCGUGUCAUUUUUGGUCAUUUCAUCUUCUUUGGCAUUGAAGAUUAAAUGUUGACGACAUUUUCAAAAUUUUGGAAGACCCAUCAUACUUUUGGAUGGUUGUCAUUAUUUGAUAUUAUCAUUAUAUGACGAAAUAAAAUUGGAUGUAACACUUGUUUCGCAUUGUGUGAACUUUUGACAAUUCCCUCAUAUCCCCCAAAAAUCUUUCGCCAUUUUGGGAAGAUGCCAUUUAUUUUCAUUUUCAUCAUUGAUAGUGGCAGAUAAUGGGUUCCGGGGACAGACCAUAAAUUAUUGUGACCCAUGGACUUUUCUAAUUUUUUUCCCUUCGGAUAGUUGUCGUUAUUUGAUAGAAGGAGAUAGAGAUAAAGUUUUUUAAUCAAAUGCCCAUUUUAUUUAACAUGGAAGAAGAUCUUUAAACUCUAAGCGAGACUAUCACUUCAACAUAUGCAGCCUUCAAGAAAGCGGUAACAAGUGAUGAGAUAGACUCAUUAUUGUCUAAUCAAACAAGGACAUCGGUAGAUGUAUCAGGAUCUUAAGUUAGAUUGGAAUUUGAUACAUUAUUGUUGGUAACGUUGGUUCAAACCUUCAAAGUGAGGUUGGAUGCAAAAUGGUUUACACCAAAGAAGUGAUUUAGGAAGUUAAUUAACGUUAUUUUAGAUAAUUUAUAAUUCUAGAAUAUUUAUUAUUUUAUGAUUUUCUAUUUUAGUUUGAGUUAAUUAUGGUAUGUAUCUUAAUCUUUUAUUUCCAUUAUAAUUAUGAUUUAAAUUUUCUUUUUAGGUUAACUUAGGAAAGCGGGUUUCUUCUAUUAUAAAUAAAGAUGUCUGUAAUAAAAAAAAUAAAGAUGUCUUGUCAUUGUUUUCAUAACUUCAAGUUCAAUUAUUAAAUAAAACCCCUCUUUUAUAAUUUCCUCUAGGAUUAUUUAUCAAAAUCUCUCUUGUAGAGUCGUUUGGAUUAGAGUGUCAUCUAAUCUCGUAUUACGCGUUAUUAAAAAUCUCAUUGAGUCAUUUGGAUUAUAACGAUAUCUAAUCACGCUUCGAUUAGAGCGUAAACUAAUCGCGUUGGCUUGGUCUGGUACUAGAACGAUAUCUAAUGUUUCUUACCCUAUCAAUUCUGCUUCCGCUACGCCUCACUCCAUCAAUUGGUAUCAAAAUGAUUAUGUGCGAAUUGCACAUCUUUCCUAGAUACACCAUACCUAUCCAAACCAAAUCCAUCAAAAAAAAAAAAUUUACAAAUUUGAAACCCCCUACCCGUCACAUCAACCUCCACCGUCGCCCACCACCGCCGAUCAGCCAGCCAACACCACCACAAACCUCACUAGCCACCGUUGACCAAGCCUUAGUCAUCGCUGCCUCAACCGUCGCUUGAACAGCCGCAAAUCACCAACCCAAACCCGCGGCUCCACCAAGCAGCCCACCACCAUUCAGCCACUUUCUCCACCAACCACCUCCACCAACAAACUCGCCGGCCUCCGUUGACCAAAAACCGACCAACUUCAGCCCUUGAUCGCCGCCCGUUGUCACCACACGAAACGACACGAGUGCUUCCUAGACGCGCCGCCACCAAAACACCUUCUUUUUCCGUCAAUUUACACCACCACCAUAAUCCUUAGCAUUCGGCAACCGUAAAUCCAGUCUUCCGCCACUGUAAAGCCGGCGUAAACCAAAAGCCACAUCACCAAAAUCAACCGCCAAUUCAAGUCGGAUUUCCCCCAAUUCAAGUUGCUGAAUAUAAAAAGGACUCAUGAAAAUUACCUAAAGUUUCAAAUAUUGUUAUUCAGCAACCACUUUUAGGUUACAUUAGUUUCAACCCAAAUUUUAUAUAAAUAAUUUAUAACUCCCAUUAUUAUCAUAAAAAAAAAAUUGUAGCAAUUGAGGUUAUAUCACAUGAAAAAAAAAAUCUAAUUAAAGAAAUUGACAUUAUAACUUAAGGGAUAGUUGCUCUUUUAAUCAUUAGAAUUUAUGUCAAUUAUCCAGCUUAUCCUUGCAUUCUUAAAAACUAUAUACAAUACCAUUAUCUCUGCUUUUGUAGCUAUUGACUUUGACUUUGACAACAUAAAUAUUUAUUAGCAACAACUUAAAAUUCAAACAAAUCUAAUAUGUAAUGUAUGAAAUACAAAUAAUAAUUAAACAAAUUUUGAUUAUUUAAUAUUAAGAUAUAAUCACAUUAAUAUCAUAAGGAUAGGUGGUACUCAAAUAAUCUUUUAAAAAUCAAACCCAAAUUAUAUGCAUUAUUGUCUAAUAUUUAGAUUUUGUUAAGUUACAACUGAUGUCACUUAAGUCUCUUAAAAAAUAUGUGGGUCCCACCACCUAUUAAAUUUUUUACAUUAUUUUUUAAAAAAUUGCAGUUACAUCAGUUGUAACUUAAUAGCACCCCUAGUAUUUUACUUUACUUUUAUACCUUUACAAAAACAAUAAUGUAUGAAAUAAAUAAAUAAAGAACUGACAACGAAAUUAGGCCUAUCAUUAGUUUCUCGUGGUGUGAACUCUUGACAAUCCUCCCCUAUCCCACCUAAAGCUCUUGCGUGUGUGAACGUUUGACAAUUCUCCCAUAUCCCUCCAAUAAUCUGUCAUAUUGCGGAAAGCAAUGUCAAUUGCAAUGUCGUUUCCCAUUAGUCAUAGUGGUAGAUAGGACCAGAAUUUUUUGAAACCCCUGAGACCCUGAACUUGUUUUUCCUUUUGAAAAUAAGAAAAGAACACCCGUCUGGAGAAAUAAUUUUGUAGAACCUCAUAUCGUGAAUAACAGACAACAAGACUUUUUUUUUAAAUUAUAAUAUUUUUUAAACUUAUAAACUAAAAAAAUUAACUCUAAUAAUUUAUGAUAAAUAUAAAUAGGAUAUUAAAAUAAAUAUAAUAAUAUAUACAUAUUAAAAUAAUUUCAAUAUCUAAAAAUUUUAAUAUUUUACAAUCUCGUAUUCUAUUAAACCAAAUUAUAAUAAAUAGAGCAUAAUAUUCAAAUAAAUAUAUAAAAAUUUAGGUUAUUUUCAAUAGCAUAUAAAAUAAUUUUAAUAUUAUUAAUACAUGAGAAAUAUUAUAUUAAUUGUAAAAUCUAUUUAACCUAAGGAUUUAGUUAAAUUUUAAAAUAAUUACAAAUAUUUUAUAAAUACAAAUAAAUUAAUUUACAUUUUAAAAAUUAAUAUUUAAAUUAAUUAUUUAAAUUAUAUAUAUUAGUCUACUGGAAAAUUUAAAUUAUUUAAAUCAUAUUUACAUUUCGUAAAACUUUUAAGCCAAUUUUUUUUUAUUACCACCUACUAAGGGUAUUGUAGUCAAGGGGAAUAUUGGUAUUCUUUAUUAAAAAUUUGGGAUUUACAUGAUUAUUUUUCUAAAUUUUAAUGGUGUCAUUUUAUUUUUGACAAAAAUAAAAUUUCAUUUAAACAGCUAAAAUGGUGAAUAAUACAGUGCUACAGUGGCGUAAGUGGAAGGUAGGAAACAAUCAAAAUGAACAGUCUAACAUCACAGCAGGCAUAUAAGGCCAAAGUUUGUUACAUCCCAAUACAACAAGUUUGAAACUUUGCACCUUCUGAAAUGAAACAAACUUACUUGGAUAUUGGCGAUCAGUGAGAAAAACCCUUUUUCCAAAGCAACCUUAGGGUACCGAGUGUUACAGAUUCAAUGAACCACAAGUACUUAUUUACAUUGUGGUAUCUCAAAGGCACCAAUUUCUUCUGAUCCGUUAAGGAAAACAAGAAAAAUAAAAAGAAAAGAAAAAGGUUACUUGUGCAACACAACCUUGACGCCUAGCUACAUGGUACAUUCUCUUUGUGUGUUUGAACUAGUUAACAAUAAUUGUGCCUUUACUUCUUGGAUUGGGGAAUCGGAAUCCGAAAUCAAAAUCAUUAAUGAUGGAGGCAGGGAUCCAAAUCAGAAUUAUGGGGCCACCCAAAUUUAGGAAUGAGGAAUGGAAGAUUGAUUCCCAAGGAAGGUGGUGGGAAUCAAUCACCCGUUCCCAAGAUUGACCAUUUUGCUCCCUCUCACAAACUAUAAAAUGUCUAUUUUGUCCUCAAUUAAAAAAUUAUUAUGAUUAAUUAAUAUAUGUUUAUAAUUUAUUAAUAUAACUAUUCUAAUCAAUUUAUACAUUUUACAUUUAUUACUAUUAUUAAAUAAUUAAUAUAUUAUUAUAAUUAAUUAAUAUAUUUUGAAUUUUUAUUAUUAUCAUCAUCAUCAUUAUUAUUAUUGUUAUGAAUGAUAAAAAAUUUUACAAUUAAUUAAUAUAUUAAUAUAUUAUUGACAAUAAUUAUUAAUAAUAAUAAUUUUUGAAUAAAUAAAAAUGUAUAAUUAAUUACUGAAUUUGAACAUUUUACAAUUAUUCUAUUAUUUGGACUUAUCGUACAUGCAGAGUAGCUAGUUUGCUAGCAUAUAUGUAAGGUUUAAUUUGAAUGCAUGCAGCAUUGAGAAGAGACAACGCAGAAACAAAAUUUCCGCUUGCGAUCUUUUCAUUUCCCUGUUUAAUAACAAACAAAACAGAGGAGAAACAGGGGCUCUCUUUUAAUUCCCCUGUUUUUCUGUUUGGUGAUUUUAAAAUGGGUCAUUCUAUAAUGCCGUAACUAAAUUUACGGCAUUGAUGCCGUAAUGGACGUGGACCGUUAGAUUUGAAUAAAAAAUCUCUACCAUUAAUUCUAAAUAAAUAAGUAAUAUGUUACCUAAAUAGCAGGUAAUUACUCUUUUUUGUUCAAGUUUCAGGUUACAUUUACUAAUUUUAUGUGUGAUUUACAAGUUUUAUGAAACUUUUACAAGUUAAUGCUGAUUUACAAGUUAUAUGUAACAUUUACAAGUUUUUGUUUUGUUUACAAGUUCUUCUUACAAUUUACAACUCUAACAUUAAUUUACUAGUUGUAUGUGUGGUUUACAAAUUUUUUGUUUUAUUUAACACUUAAUGUCAAUUUACAAGUUCUAUGUAAUUUUUCUAAAUUUUGGUUUUGUUUACAAGUUCUUCUUACAAUUUACAACUCCAACAUUAAUUUAUUCAUUUUUCCAUCAAUUUACUAGUUUUAUGUGUGAUUUACACAUUUUUUGUUUCAUUUCACAAUUAAUGUCAAUUUACUAGUUAUAUGUCAUUUUUAUAAGUUUUUGUUUUGUUUACAAGUUCUUCUUACAAUUUACAACUCUAACAUUAAUUUACCAAUUUUUCCAUUAAUUUACUAGUUUUAUGUGUGAUUUACACAUUUUUUGUUUCAUUUCACACUUAAUGUCAAUUUACUAGUUGUAUGUCAUUUUUCUAAGUUUUUGUUUUAUUUACAAGUUCUUCUUACAAUUUACAACUCCAACACUAAUUUACCAAUUUUUUUCAUUAAUUUACUAGUUUUAUGUGUGAUUUACACAUUUUUUGUUUCAUUUCACACUUAAUGUCAAUUUACUAGUUGUAUGUCAUUUUUCUAAGUUUUUGUUUUGUUUACAAGUUCUUCUUGUAAUUUACAACUCCAACAUUAAUUUACCAAUUUUUUCAUUAAUUUACUAGUUUUAUGUGUGAUUUACAUAUUUUUUGUUUCAUUUCACACUUAAUGUCAAUUUACAAGUUCUAUGUCAUUUUUCUAAGUUUUUGUUUUGUUUACAAGUUCUUCUUACAAUUUACAACUCCAACAUUAAUUUACCAAUUGUUCUAUCAAUUUACUAGUUUUAUGUGUGAUUUACAUAUUUUUUGUUUCAUUUCACAAUUAAUGUCAAUUUACUAGUUGUAUGUCAUUUUUCUAAGUUUUUGUUUUGUUUACAAGUUCUUCUUACAAUUUUCAACUCUAACAUUAAUUUACCAAAUUUUUCAUUAAUUUACUAGUUUUAUGUGUGAUUUACAUAUUUUUUGUUUCAUUUUACACUUAAUGUCAAUUUAAAAGUUCUAUGUCAUUUUUCUAAGUUUUUGUUUUGUUUACAAGUUCUUCUUGCAAUUUACAACUCCAACAUUAAUUUACUCAUUUUUCCAUUAAUUUACUAGUUUUAUGUGUGAUUUACAAAUUUAUUGUUUUAUUUCACACUUAAUGUCAAUUUACUAGUUGUAUGUCAUUAUUCUAAGUUUUUGUUUUGUUUACAAGUUCUUCUUACAAUUUACAACUCUAACAUUAAUUUACCAAUUUUUCCAUUAAUUUACUAGUUUUAUGUGUGAUUUACAUAUUUUUUGUUUCAUUUCAUACUUAAUGUCAAUUUGCAAGUUCUAUGUCAUUUUUCUAAGUUUUUGUUUUGUUUACAAGUUCUUCUUGCAAUUUACAACUCCAACAUUAAUUUACUCAUUUUUCCAUUAAUUUACUAGUUUUAUGUGUGAUUUACAAAUUUAUUGUUUUAUUUCACACUUAAUGUCAAUUUGCAAGUUCUAUGUCAUUUUUCUAAUUUUUUUUUUGUUUACAAGUUCUUCUUGCAAUUUACAACUCUAACAUUAAUUUACUCAUUUUUCCAUUAAUUUACUAGUUUUAUGUGUGAUUUACAAAUUUAUUGUUUUAUUUCACACUUAAUGUCAAUUUGCAAGUUCUAUGUCAUUUUUCUAAUUUUUUUUUUUUGUUUACAAGUUCUUCUUGCAAUUUACAACUCCAACAUUAAUUUACUCAUUUUUCCAUUAAUUUACUAGUUUUUUGUGUGAUUUACAAAUUUAUUAUUUUAUUUCACACUUAAUGUCAAUUUACAAGUUCUAUGUCAUUUUUCUAAGUUUUUAUUUUGUUUACAAGUUCUUCUUGCAAUUUACAACUCCAACAUUAAUUUACUCAUUUUUCCAUCAAUUUACUAGUUUUAUGUGUGAUUUACACAUUUUUUGUUUCAUUUCACACUUAAUGUCAAUUUACAAGUUCUAUGUCAUUUUUCUAAGUUUUUGUUUUGUUUACAAGUUCUUCUUACAAUUUACAACUCCAACAUUAAUUUACCAAUUUUUCCAUCAAUUUACUAGUUUUAUGUGUGAUUUACAUAUUUUUUGUUUCAUUUCACACUUAAUGUCAAUUUACAAGUUCUAUGUCAUUUUUCUAAGUUUUUGUUUUGUUUACAAGUUCUUCUUACAAUUUACAACUCUAACAUUAAUUUACCAAAUUUUUCAUUAAUUUACUAAUUUUAUGUUGAUUUACAUAUUUUUUGUUUCAUUUCACAAUUAAUGUCAAUUUACUAGUUGUAUGUCAUUUUUCUAAGUUUUUGUUUUGUUUACAAGUUCUUCUUACAAUUUUCAACUCUAAUAUUAAUUUACCAAAUUUUUCAUUAAUUUACUAGUUUUAUGUGUGAUUUACAUAUUUUUUGUUUCAUUUCACACUUAAUGUCAAUUUACAGGUUCUAUGUCAUUUUUCUAAGUUUUUGUUUUGUUUACAAUUUCUUCUUAUAAUUUACAACUCCAACAUUAAUUUACUAGUUUUUUUCUAUUUUUUAUUUUUUUAAAUUUUGUAGACCAAUUUACCACUCUAACGUUGAUUAUUGGCAUUUUAUGAUUUAGAUAGAAUGAUAUAAGGGUGGGCAUGAGUUGGGUUUGAUAGGGUUAGUGAAAUUCUAACCUGAUCUACUUUUUAAUGAGCUGACAUAAAAUCCAUCCAACUUAACUAAAUAAACUUGUUUAACCCAAUUCUACCCAAGCCUUAUAUCGUCUGGUUAAGUUGAUUAGGUUGAAGGUCAAAUCAAAAUUUUAAUUUGAACAAUGAAAAUGAUAUGAAACUUGAAAUGAAACUUAUUAAAAUCAAAUAUAAAUCUUUUAUAAAAUGAAAUUUUCAUUCACUAUCUAGUGUACGUAAAGAAAGUUAAUAAAUUAACUAUCUUUAAAUUAAGAAAAUUUCCACAAAAAGCAUAUAGACUUUAUUUCUCCUACAUCUCCUUUUCCAAUUCCAAAUUCAGACUUUUUAGAUAAUUAGCUAGCAUCAUAUACAAAAAUAAAAUGAAAGUGAUAUAUAAUUAUAUGCCGUUAAGUAUUCACUAAAAAAAUAAAAAGAAAUUAAAACCAACUUACUUUUAUAUUAAUCUUAUAAAAUAAUAAAUUUACUUAUAAGAGAGUGUGAUUUUGGUUUUGGAAUUGUAGUCUAGAGCAACAUGUAGGUCCCGAACCCUGAUUUCAAUUUAAUUGGGCUCUAAUAUUUAGGCCCGAGCCUAACCAUUAAAUUCGAGUCAAAGGAUAGAAAAUUCAGGUCAAGUCAAUUAGACUAAAAGUCGAUCCGAGUCUUCCUUGCAUGUAUAUAUGUUUGCAUCUUGAUUUUUUAUUUUUAUAUAUCAUAUAAACUCUUCUAUAAAUUUAUAGGUAUAUAUAGAAUGCUGCGUUUACUUGUCAUUAAUUGGAAUAGGUAAUGAGAAUCAGAAUAAGUUGUUUACUUGAUCUACAAGAAUCGAAAUCGGAAUGGACUGGAACCCCAUUAAUGUGUUUAUUUUAUCUUGGAAUUGGCUUCGGAAUGAGUUAAAUUGUAACAAAUUACUAAAAAGUACUUAAUGGAUUAUUAUCAUAAUUAUUAUUUUAUAUUUUAAUUAUAGUGAUUAUUUAUUCAAAAAUUAUUAUUAUUAUUAUUAAUUGUAAUAUAUAUUAAUAUAUUAAUAAAAUCAUAAAUCUAUCAUUUUUCUUUAAAUUAGUUUAUAAAAAUCGACAUUGUCCCUUUCCCGAAUGAGAAAUUGGGUAUAAAAUCAUAAAUUUAAAAUUUAACUAAAAAUCAUAAAUCUAAACCCCAAAAAAGUCAUAACAUAAGUGGUUCUAUAUAUAUUUUAGGUAUAUAUAUAAAUGUUUGUGUGUGUGUGUGUGUGUGUCUCUCUCUCUCUCUCUAUAUAUAUAUAUAUAUAUAUAUAUCUUAUUUUUAAUGAAUUGUCAUAUUACUGGAAUUACUUAGUAUGAUGUCAUAAUUAUAGAAUUAAGUCACUUUUAUGGCAUAAACAAUAUAAUUUUCUAAAAAAAAAUUAGGUUCAACUAAAGAUUGAUAUGUUACUAAUUUUUUUUUUUUUUGGAUGGACCUCUUUACUAGUUUAAAAUCGAAUCAUUGGCAUGUUUAAUUUAAACCUUAUGGUCCUUUUUAGUUACAAUUUUUUUUUUAAAUAUCAAGGUAUUUUUUAAUCUGCUAUCAAAUUUCACUUAACACUUUUACACUCUUUUUAUUUCAAUUUUUUUAAAAUAAAUAUUACAGUACUUUUUUCUUACAUUCACGACAAAUUAUGUAAUCUCAAUAGCUCCAACUAAAGAUUGUAAUCUCACGACAAAUUAUGUCAUAUUUAUAGAAUUAAGUCACUUUUUUCCUUGUUCCCGUAAUAUUUUUGCUUCUUGCUUGCUGCAGUCAAUUAAAUAUUUUGAAAAAAAAAUAUAAUCAGUGCACUGUCACAUUAUUAUGCUUGACUUUACUAAAUAUUCAUAAAUUUACCAACAAUCAAAUACGUAAUAUUUAAUGUAAUUAGACUUACAAAUACUUAACGAAAGACCGAUUAUUUCUUAAAAUUUCAAUUUCUUGGUUCACGUUAUCCUUGAAAUCAUUCUCGUUACCCUUAUCUACAUUUUCAGCCAUUUUCGAGUUUAUAACAAGAACCUGUACAUGAAGAUAUUAGGCACAAAAAGAAAUGUCAAAGAUCACAAGUUUUGGAUCCUGUAAAAAUAUUUUACAGAUAAACAUUUCAAUUCAAAAUUCAAUCGCCCGAGCAAUAAUUAGGAACACCUGGAAAGUUAAACUGGUAUUUGCUUCCAUAACAGUGACAAACAAUAACCAUUCACAACAUUAGUUAUAAUCCUUAAAAAGAAAUAACAAACUUCAAAAAAAAAUAUAUAGACGUUUUACAAUGACUGUUGGCUUGGCACAUCAAUCUAAAGCUCACAAGCAGUUUGCAUUUCUCAUCAUCUCUUUCUUCUUCCCUCUAUUAUCAAUGGAUUGUAGAAGCUCAAAUGAAGCAAGUAGCAGCAGGAACAACACAAGCAACUUUUACUAUCAAUCCCCAUCCUUCUCCAUUCAAAAUGCAUCAUGACCAUUUUCCGGCCAGCUCCAUACACAAAAACAACAGUAAAUAUAUCCGGAAACAACAAAAAAAUUAACCCAAAAGUAGUAGUAAAUUUAUACAAAAACAGAAAAAAAUUUAACUGAAAUACGGCAGCAAAUUAACCCAAAACCAGCAGAAUUUUAACACAGAAAUAGCAGCAACUGAAGCCCAAAACACCCGAAAAUUUUACCCAAAAACAGCAGUAAAUUUAUCCAGAAACAGCAGAAAAAUUAAUUGAAAAACAGCAGCAAAUUUACCCAGAAGCAGCAGAAAAUUUAACCCAAAAAUAGCAGUAAAUUUAUCUAGAAACAGCAGAAAAUUUAAUUGAAAAACAGCAGCAAAUUUACCCAGAAGUAGCAGAAAAUUUAACACAAAAACAGCAGCAAAUGAAGCCCAAAACAGCAGAAAAUUUAACCACAAAACAGCAGAAAAUUUAACCCAAAAACAGCAGUAAAUUUAUCCAGAAACAGCAAAAAAUUUAACUGAAAAACAGCAGCAAAUUUACCGAGAAACAACAGAAAAUUUAACACAAAAACAGUAGCAAAUGAAGCCCAAAACACCAGAAAAAUUUACCUCCAAACAGCAGAAAAUAUAACCCAAAAACAGCAGUAAAUUGAUCCAAAAACAGCAGAAAAUUAGACUAAAAACAGCAGCCAAUUUACCCAGAAACAGCAAAAAAUUUAACUCAAAAUCAGCAGCAAAUGAAGCCCAAAACACCAGAAAAAUUUAACCCAAGAACAACAGCAAAUCAUUCCAAAUACAGCAUAAAAUUUACCCAGAAAAAAAAAGCAUAUCAAAUCAUCCCAAAUACAGCAGCAAAUCAUCCCUACGUUUCAAACAUGCUUCUCUAGGCUAACUCUAGACUUAAUUUUCCCUUCAUUACCACAGUGGAACUCAUUCUAACUGGUAAAUUUAUUUGUAUAAACAAUAAUUCACUUUCUAUUGAACUAAGAGUUGAUGAAAUUCAUUGAUAUUGAAAUUAUUUGCAGUUGAUGAACCUCGUAUUCUAUUAAACUUCCAACCAAAAUCAAUGCACAUGAGAAUACAAAAUCAAGGGCACAACAAUUAACGAAAUUUACUUUUAAUUUCGUCCAAACCUAUACAUCGCACCAAAUUAAGGUUCAGUUUCUAUUUCUUCAUUAACCCAAGUGACACAAAACAAUUCUAUUAAAUUUUAUGUUGAAAUUAUUUGUAGCAAACAAACAAAUAUACCAAAAAUAGGCUUACUUGGUGGAAUUAACAACAAUGCAAACGCGGUGGAGGGGAAUCAGUGGCUGGAACUUGCCUUGCCUUCUCUUCCAAUCAAUAAGAUUGAGGGCAGCAGCAACAACUUAUGAUCAACACCUGGUACUCCGCUUCAGGCACUGUCAAAUCUCAUCAAAAUUUCUUUAUCCCUUAAUUCUCUUGGAAACCAAACAAAAUACCACAACCAAUCCAGAUGCACAGUAUCCAAAAAUUAUAAAAAAAUCCACUUAAAAAACUUAAAAAAGGGUUAAAAAAAGUCUUAAGAAGAGUUUACCUCCUGAAUCACUGAUGCCCAGCCGGUAUCGUUGUUCCAAAACCCCUUGACGAAUACGAACACAGCCUGGUUCUCCUCAACCAAGUUGUUGUAGAGCUUCUUCUUGUCCGAUUAAAUAAUCUAUUGGUAUUUAGUGAUGGAUUUAAAGAGGAACGCCUUGGCGAUGGGCAAAUUUCAAAUCCGCUUCUGUUUUGCUGCAAGCAGAUUUCAAAUCGGUGAUGGGCAGGAACACAAACUCAGCCCCUUCACCAACAUGAACCGUUGUAGAGCUUCUUAUUUCUCGCUUCUUUUUGGCUUCAGGCAGUUUUCAAAGCGAUGAUUGGCAGGAAAAGAGGAACGAUUGAGGAAAACAAAAUUUGGGUUAGCCAGCAAGCACAAUCGCUUCGAAAAUACAAGAUCCGGCGUGCUGCAAUUUCUUAGACUCGAUGUUGUGCCCUUCGAAUUAUGAGAUUCUAUUUGGAUUUUUGUAGAUUCGGUUUUAAAAAAAUAUAUAUAUAUAUAUAUAUGUAUGUAUAUAAUUUUGAAAAUUUUAACCAGUUAAUUUUUUUAAAUAAAUGUUUAGCCGGUUAACAACCGGUUAAUGAAAAAAAUUUACAAAUUUUUUUAUUAUGUUAUAGUUAUUGCAUGCUGUUGAUUUAAUCCAACGGUGUACAGUAAUUACGGCAUUAAUACCGUAAUUUUUAUUACGGUAUUAUAGAAUUUUCCUUUUAAAAUUUUAUGUCUAUAUUUAUCAAAAAAAGUUAUCCAGAAUUAUUAUCUAUUUUUGAUACACAUUGAUUUAUUAAAAAAACAAUUAAAAACUGCAAUUCUAAACUUAUCGUUGUGCACUGUGCUUUGACCUUGGGGUGGUUUUUUUCUGUUUUUUUACGUAGGCCAGAACCUUAAUGAAGAAAGUUUUCAUCGUUAAUUGCUUUUGACCUAGGAGAAUUUAUUACUUGGACAAAUUAACACCAUUGUCCUUUGAUGCGGCUCCUAGAUAUCUAUGCAAUUUGUGUCAUUUACUUUUGCUUUGUAUUCUUUUUUAAAUGAGUCCUGACUGGUUCAUUGGCAGAUAAAUGAGUCGGUUUUUCUGUUUUUAUUUUUUAUUUUUUAUUUUUUGAAAGACGGUUUUUCUGUUACGAAACUUUUCAUGGAUGAAUUUUUUUUUUAAUUUUAUAGAUUCUCUGCGAAGGCAGUUUAGAAGUACUAAGUUUUGUUAGGUAGAAGGGUAUUUAAGUAUUUUCAUUUCAUAUUUUGACAUUUCCUUGACCUUUGAAGUAUUGAAUCAUUGUGUUGGUAUUUAAGUAAAUCUGCCCACAAUGAGGAAUAUAUAGUUCAGAACAGUUGAGGAAGCAUGAGAAUACUUGAGGAAAACCUGAUCUGCACUCUUUCCUCUAUAUGUGUCUUCAAUAUAAAUGGCUCAAAUAUAUGCGUUAUGAUCUUUUAAUAUUUCGCCUCUGAUAUUGCCCACAUUGCUUACUGCAAUAGAUAAAGCACUUCGUUUACCCCAAAUCCUGAUAGGGAAGUAUAAAUAUAUGCUUCCGAAAUAGCGCAACUCUCCAUAAUUAUUUAAUAUGCCUCUCAAUGAAGCAAUCACUUCAUUUACAAUUCUUCGAUUAUUAAUCCUACAUACACGUGUUUCUUUUGUCUCUAAAAGUAUUCUCAAUUAAUUUACAUAAUUUAAUAUAAUAAGUACCUAAGACUAGACAAAUUACCAUUACAAUAAAAUGAAUAAAUUAUAAUAGUAUUGACACAAUAAUGUCAAUAAUAAAUGCCUUAACAAACCUAUAAAUUUUAGAAUAUGGCUCAGAGUGCUACAAUGAACCACAACAAGUUAUUAUAUUAUCUAUAAUCAAUAUUCCAAUGAUAAUAGAGCUUUUCUAUUUUCAAUCCGCUGCUUUUCUGUUUAGCGAUUGCCAAAUUUUAUAUCUAAAAUUCUUCUAAUUUUACACUAAGGUUUAUUUAAAAAAAAAAAAAAGGGGGUAGGAGAGAGAGACUCAGAGAGUAUUAAAAAAUGUAAUUCUAAAUUUUUACUUGAGCGUUGUGUGAUUUUUAUCAUUUUUUUUAAGUUGGCCAUUUAUAUUGAGUAAAUAAAAGAAUGAAUAGACGUUUGGACCACUUCUUUUCUGUUAUAAUAAAACAUGAGAUGUCUUUUCUUGAUGUUUUCGUCACAAAAGAAUAUGUUUAUGUCAUCAUAGGCUUAAAUGGGGUAAGUAAAUUAAGAUCGAGGAAAAGUUUGUUUAAGCACUAAAGUCGCUAAAUAAACGAAAGGCUCAUAUAAAAAUUACCUAAAGCACCAAAUAUUGUUAUUUAGCUACUUCUUUUAUGUUACAUUAGUUUCUACGCAAAUUUAUAUAAAUAAUUUAUAACUCCCAUCAUUAUUAAAAAAAAAAAAAAACUGUAGCAAUUGUGGUUAUAUCACGUGGUGUGAUCUUUUGACAAUUCUCCCACAUCCCACCAAAAACUCUUACGCGGCAUGAACUUUUGACAAUUCUCCCAUAUCCCACCAAAAAUUUGUCAUGUUGCGAAAGGCAAUGUCAAUUGCAAUGUCAUUUCCAUUAGUCAUAGUAGCAGACAAUGGAGGUCCCGGGAUAGGACUAGAAGUUUUUGAAAUCUUGGACUUAUUCUUACUUUAUUUUUUCUUUUGAAAAUGAGAAAAGGACACCCGUUUGAGGAAAUAAUUUUGUAGAACCUCAUAUCGUGAAUAGGGGAUAAUAAGACUUUUUUUUUUUUUUACUUCACUGCAAUAUUCUUUAAUUUUAUUAAUUUUAUAUUUUAUAAUAAAUAUAAAUGUGAUAUUAAAAUAAAUGUAAUAAUAUAUACAUAUUAAAAUAACUUGAUAUUGAAAAAUAUUUUAAUAUUUUACAAUCCCGUAUUACAUUAAACCAAACUAUAAUAAAUAGAUAUAAUAUUAAAAUAAAUAUAUAAAAGUUUAAAUUAUUUUGAAUAUCAUAUAAAAUAAUUUUAAUAUUAUUAAUAAAUCAGAAGUAUUACAUUAAUUGUAAAAUCUAUCUAAUCCAAGGAUUUAUUUAAAUUUUUUAUAAUAAAUUAAAAAUAUAUUAAUUAACAUUUUAAAAAUUAAUAAUGAAAUUAAUUAUAUAAGUUAUACAUAUUAGUCUACUAGAAAGAUUUAAACUAUUUCAAUCAGAUUUACAUUUAGUGAAAAUUUUUGAAGUUAAUGGUUUUGGUUAUCGUCUACUAAGAAUCUUGCAGUUAAAAGGGGUAUUGACAUUCUUUAUUAAAAAUUUGAGGUCUACAUAACUAUUUUUUAAAAAUUUAAGGGUGUCAUUUUUAUUUUUAACAAAAAUAAAAUUUCAUUUAAAUGGCUAAAAUGGUGAAUAAUACAAUGUUACAGCUGGCGUAACAUUGUAUUAUAUGUUAAAUUUUUUUAAAUAUUUGUAUAUAUUGUUAUAUGAUAUUAUAAUAUUAUAUUUAUAUUUAUUAAAAUAUAAGAGUUAAUAUUUUUAAAUUAAUAAAGACAAAAAGUAUUAUAAUAAAAAAGAAUUCUUUUAUUAAAAAUAUAAUCAUUCUCCCAAACUUAUCCUUGUCCCUUUUUGAAAGGAAAAAAUAAAUUAGAAAAGUCUUUGGUCAUGAUAACUUCUAGCCUUGUCCCAUGGGACAUGGCUACGGUGCAGAAGCUGAAAGUAACAGCUUCGAACUUUCCCAUUUCCAUCACCUUGCAUUGGGACCUCUUUCUCUCUCCUCUAGCACCAGUGGAAGUUCCCCAUUGGCCGCUGUUACUUACAGAAGCUGUAACAUAGACUUCUAGCCAUGUCCCGUGAUGUCCAUUGUCUGCCACUAUCAAUAAUGGCAAUGACAUUGCAAAUGAAACAUUGAAAAUGUAUUUUCACAAUAUGACAAAAUGGGAGGAUUGUCAAAAGUUCACUGAAACUAGAGUUAGAUCUAAUUUCAUUUAUUUCAUAAAUUAGAAAAGUCUAUGGUCGUGAUAACUUCUAGCCAUGUCCCGUGAUGUCCAUUGUCUGCCACUAUGAAUAAUGAAAAUGACAUUGCAAUUGAAACUUUGAAAGGUAUUUUCGCAAUAUGACAAAGCUUUUGUUGGGAUACGGGAGGAUUGUCAAAAAUUCACACCACGUGAAACUAGCGUUAGAUCUAAUUUUAUGUCGUCAGUUCCUUAUAUAUUUAUUUCAUUUAUUUUAUACAUAGCUGUUUUAGGGUGAUAUUGUUUUGUAAAGAUAUAAUAGUAUGGUACUAUAAAAAGAAAAGAGGUGUGUGUAUACUUCCCAGUGUAAUAAUUAUAUGUAGAAGAAAACUAACAAGAGGAAAAAUGACAAAGAGCAAGGCGCUGGUUGUGGGGAGAAGAGGAUAGAGAAGGCAAUCUUAGCUUGUUGAUUGAGGGCUCAUUUUCUGAUCAUCGUAGCCUUGUUGGAGCUGUCAAACAAGUCGAUGUUGUCAUUUGCACCAUGUCGGGGGCUCAUUUAAGGAGCCACAAACAUUUUGAUGUUGCUUAAACCUGUUGAGUCCAUCAAAUAAGCUGUAAAUAUUAAGGUACGUAAUCCUUAAUUUUUAUGUAAUUUUAAUUUCAGAUCCAAAAUUGCAUGCAAGUCAUUAAAUUUCUUUCCUUUUUUUAUUUUUUAUUUGAUGAGUUACUUGAUUUGGUCGGGUGCCUUUUUUUUUCCUUUGGUUUUUCUUUUUCCAAAACAUAAAUAGACCAAGCACAUCUCCAAAUCGGGUUGGAGCGGGGAUUCUAACUCUACGAUGGCCAUAUUAAAAUUUAAAAUUUUUUAAUUUAUUUUUUCUUUUAUAACUACAUCUCAAUAUUUGAAAAAAUGAUUAUAUAGAUCUAUAUAUUAUCGAACCCAAAAUUAUAAUAAUACAUGUAAUUAUUCUAUACAUGCGUCAACAAGGCAACAGUAACCAAAUACAUGAUAUGCGAAGGGGGUGCAUGAUUAAGUCCUUUUUUUAUUCAAUUCAUUGUUAUUAUUUUUCAGCAGUUACCAGUGAUCUUUUUGCUCAUUAAAAUUAUUCUUAAAUAUUCAACGCCCAGAAGAGAAGCUCAUCAACUAUCAGAUCCCGGAUAAUUAAAGAGGUGAACUUGUUCUAAAUCCUUUGAUAAUUUCUAUUAAUAGCAUAAUCUCCUUGAUCCAAGAAAAAAUAUCUCCUGUUUGUCUUAAUCUUGUCAUUUAAUUUUUUCAACAGCAAAUAUAUAUACACACGCACACACACAUAUUGUUAAAAAGUGCAGAAAAACCACUCAAAAACGUGGAGAAAAACCACUCAAAUUUAUACAUGCGUCAACAGGGAAACAGUAACCAAAUACGUGAUACAAAAAGGGGUGAAUGAUUCUGUCUUUGCCUUUUGCAAGUCGCUGUUAUUACUCUCAUCAACUCCUUUCUCGCACAUUUCUCAGCAGUUACCAGUAAUAUUUAAAAUCGCUGUGUAGAUAUGCAAAGUUCCGUAAGUGCAUUAAUAAUUAUUUGCCAGAAAAAAAUAGUUGCGUCAAUAUUAAAGGAAUUGACAUCCAGGGGACCCAAUUUAGUUGCUUAAUGAUUAUUUAAUUAAUUAAUUUAUAAUAUAUUAAUCUUUUAAGUUGAAUAUUUAAAAUCUUAGACCCGAAACAAUAAAUCAUCUGAGGCAAAUAAAAGAGAAAUUAUCAUCCUUUUUUCUUUUUUUAACUUCUUGUAGCUUAUAAAAGAGAAAUUAUCAGUCAUUUACUCAAAGUUUAUUCAAUUAUUAAAAUUAUUAUAAAAAUUUAAAUUUAUUUAAUUUUACAUCCAAUGUAUGCAAUUUGUAUGAAACAUCUGUUAAAAAUAUAAAGUUAUUCGUUCAAAGUGACAAAAUAGAAGCGAACACAAAAUUGUAGUGGUGAUUAUGUUUUAGGAGUAACUUUAUUUUUUUAGUAAACAGUUGAUACACAUUUUAUAACUUUUGGAUAAUAAAAUAAUUUUUAGGUGGAUGAUUGAAAAUUUUUCUUUUCAAAAUAUUUUGAAAACAAUACCAAAUGUACCAAAACAUUGUUUACUUUCACUCUCUCUCUCUCUCUCUCUAUCUAUCUAUCUAUAUAUAUAUAUAUAUAUAUAUUAUUUCUUAACUCAUUCUUAUCCUUAUUCUUUCUAACAUAUCCACAAUCUGUCAAUGAAAUUUACUUUUAUAAAUUUAAAGAUUUUUUCAUGCAAUUUUGUACGAUGAUGAGUUCUCAUAUUUAUGUUAAAAAAUAAUUCGUAAAUAAUACAAAUGAAAAAAACAAAAAGUAGCAGGGCUGGCAAUACAAAACCAUAACUUUUUUUCUUUGAAUUUUGCAUAAAUAAAGUCAAUAGUGAUUUGUCAGCGCGAUCUUGAGAGCACGGCUUGGAGUCUCAAUAAUUAUUGACACUCAUAUUUGAAAACUUUCGAAAAGAUAAAAUCCAAUAUGAAAGGUGAAACGUUAUAAUCAUAGUAACUAGAAAAUUGAUUGAUUUACAAAUAUCAAUUUAAACAAUUUUCAUGUUGAUCGACAAUUUAAGUAGAUUGACAAAGAUUGAAGUAAUUACUGUUGGUGAUGAUUGACUUUGUCCUUAUCCUUGCCUUCUUCUUAUCAAAAAUCCAGUGUCAAUUAAAUUGGGCCAGGGUUUCUGAUUGCAACUAAUGGACUUCAUAUACGCAUAAUGGUCCCUACGUAUAUGCGUACCAAUAUUUGAUUGAAAAAGGGGGUGCAUGCUUAAUGCUCAAGUCGUCUUCUUUUGGAAAUUCAUUGUUAUUACUCUCAUCAACUCGUUCCUCACAUUCCUCUUUAGUCAAAACCUGUAAUAUUUCUUCUAUAUUCAAGGUGAAUACAGCAGCUCAUCAACUCUUAUCCCAGACAGGUAAAGAGGUGCACUUGUUCUAAAACCUGUAAUAUUCUUUUAGUAGCAGAAUCUCUGAUACUUGAUCUUCAUAGCGGUUCUUUCUUAAUUUCCAUAAACUUUCCUAGGAAAAAAAUUCUCUGGUUUUUCUUAAUCAUAUCAUUUACUUUUCUUAAGUCAUAUCAUUUAUUUUUAGUAGCAGAAUACUUGAUCUUGAUAGCCAUUCUUUCUUAAUUUCCAUCAACUUUCCUUGAAGGAUACCUUUCUGUUAAUAGCGAAACCUCUGAUCCUUAAGAUAGAAAAAGAAAUUCUCUACUUAGGUAUCAGUUGGUUCAAAAUCAAUAUCGCGAUGUUGUUUGCGGUCUUUUCUUUCUCUGUCUUUCCCUCUAGUUCAUUUUAAUUUAUUUGUAUUCCUUUCUUUGACAUUUUUAUUCAUUUUAUAUAUAUAUAUAUAUUGUUAAGCAAUAGGCAAUGGCUGCAGAAGUGGGUCUGGCUGCUUUUUCCAGCAUCGUAUCAGAAGGUGCAAAGUCACUGUUCAAACCGAUUAUACGGCAGAUCUCUUAUGUGUUCAAGUACCAGAGCUACGUAGAUGAGCUAAAAGAUCAAGUGAAACAGCUGGGAUAUAAAAGAGAAAUGGUGCAGCAACCAGUUAAUCAUGCUAGGCUACAAGGUGAUGAGCUUUAUGAGGGUGUCACAGACUGGCUACAUAGCGUUGAUGAAUUCAUCAGUAAAGGGGUUGCAAAAUCCAUUAUUGAUGAUGAAGAUAGAGCUAAGAAGUCCUGCUUCAAAGGAUCGUGCCCAAAUUUGAUUUCCCGUUACAAGGUCAGUAAACAUGCAGCAAAGGCCGCAGAAGCUGCCGCUAGUCUCAUGGGAAAAGGCAACUUCUCUAAUGUUUCCUACCGUCCUGCUCCAAAGCGGGCAAAACAUAUGCAAGUGAAAGAUUUCGAGGCCUUUGAUUCAAGAAUGAAAGUAUUUCAAGAUGUUAUGGAGGCGUUGAGGGAUGAUAAGCUCAACAUAAUUGGGGUCUACGGGAUGGGCGGCGUGGGUAAAACCACGAUAGUCAAGCAAGUUGCAAAGCAAGUGAUGGAAGAAAACUUGUUCGAUAAGGUCGUUAUGGCUGAGGUAACACAGACCCCAGAUCAUCAUAAAAUUCAAAACAAACUUGCUUUUGAUUUGGGCAUGGAAUUUGGCUUGAAUGAGAAUGAAUUCCAAAGAGCUGAACGAUUACAUAAAAGAUUGAAGAAAGAGAAGCAGCUCCUCAUUAUAUUAGAUAAUAUUUGGACAAAACUUGAGUUGGAUAAAAUUGGAAUUCCAACCGGGGAUGUUGCUGAGAAAGAUAGAAAGGAUGAUCAGAGAAGAUGCACAAUAAUAUUGACGUCUAGAAAGCAAGAUUUAUUGCGCAUUGAUAUGAAUUCUCAGAAAAAUUUCCCGAUCGAUGCUUUGCCACGAAAAGAAGCAUUGCAGUUAUUUGAGAAGAUAGUGGGUGAUUCAACUAAAAUAUCUACUUUUCAAAGUAUAGCAAAUGAGAUCGUUGAAAGAUGCGGAGGUUUGCCUGUUGCACUGAGUACAGUUGCAAAUGCUCUGAAAACUAAGGAGCUUGACUUUUGGAAAGAUGCAUUGAAUCAGCUAAGAAGAUCGGAUGCAAGAGAAAUUCAUGGCAUGCAAGCAAAUGUUUACACCUCCAUAAAAUUGAGUUAUGACUUCUUGGAAAGUGAGGAGGCAAAAUCUUUGUUUCGUCUUUGUGGUCUAUACAGUGAAGGUAAUGUCAUACAAGUUUCUAACUUAUUGAGAUAUGGUGUGGGUUGGGGUUUGUUUGAAAAUGUUUACACAUUAGAAGAAGCAAGGAGUAGAGUGCAUCGGUUGAUCGACAACCUCAAAUCUUCAUGCUUAUUGUUGGGCGGUGAUGCUAAAGAUGAAGUUAAAAUACAUGACGUCAUUCAUGUUGUUGCCGUAUCAAUUGCCGCAGAGAAGCGCAUGUUUAAUAUUCCAAAUGUUGCCGACUUAGAGAAAAAGAUGGAAGAGACAAUACGGAAAGAUCCAAUUGCCAUUUCAUUACCCCAGAGAAAUAUUCAAGAGCUCCCUGAAAGGUUGCAAUGUCCCAAUCUCCAGUUAUUUUUGUUGUUUAGAAAGGGUAAUGGCCCUAUGCAAAUUUCAGACCUCUUUUUUGAAGGGACAGAAGAACUCAAAGUGUUAAGUCUUAUCAGAAUUCCUUUCUCUUCAUUACCUUCGUCACUUGGUCGCCUCAUUAACCUUCAAACAUUGUGUUUAGAUGGUUGCGGACUAAAAGAUAUAGCAAUAGUUGGACAGCUAAAGAAAUUAGAGAUUCUCAGCCUUCGAGAUUCUGAUGUUAAGGAGUUGCCACUUGUAAUUGGACAAUUGACGAGAUUACAGUUGCUAGAUUUGAGCAAUUGUAGCAGCCUUGUGGUGAUAGCUCCAAAUGUCAUAUCAAAAUUAUCUCGAUUAGAAGAACUAUAUAUGGGUAACAGCUUUUCACAUUGGGAGAAGGUUGAAGGAGGAAGUAACGCCAAUCUUGUUGAGUUGAAGGGGUUGUCAAAGCUAACUACUUUGGAGAUACACGUUCGGGAUGCCGAAAUUCUACCGCAGGAUUUGGUCUCUGUGGAAUUGCAAAGAUACAGGAUAUGUAUAGGAAAUAAGUGGUGGAGCAGCUGGUCCGUUAAAUCUGGAUUAUCAAGAUUGAUGAAGCUCCAGGGGCUGGAAAAGUUUGGCAUUCUUUUGCAAAAUUACAGAAUGAAAAUGUUGCUGCAGAGAACUGAAGAUCUCUAUCUAGAAGAACUGAAGGGUGUUCAGAAUGUUGUUCAUGAAUUAGACGAUGGGGAGGGUUAUCCACGAUUGAAGCGUCUUCGUGUAGAAAGUUGUUCUGAGAUUUUACAUAUUGUCGGUUCAGUUAGACGGGUUGGUUGCGAAGUCUUUCCCUUGCUGGAGUCAUUGUCUCUUAUGUUUUUAACUAAUUUGGAGACGAUAUGCUACAGCCAACUCAAUGAAGAUCAAUCUUUCAGCAACUUAAGGAUUAUAUACGUAUAUUGUUGUGACAAACUGAAGCAUCUCUUCUCAUUCUCUAUGGCCAAAAGACUAUUGCGGCUUCAAAAAGUAGAAGUGGAAAACUGCUAUGAUUUGAAAAUGAUUAUUGGUAAGUGUUGAAAUUAAUUAUUGGUAGGAUUAUUGACACUGACUAAUUCUUUUUUUCUUUUUUUUUUUGGUGAAAAAAACAACGGAUGUUUAUAAUAUAUUGUUUUUGUUCAUUUAUAGGGCCCGACAUGGAGAAACCAACAACUACUGAGGGAUUCACAGAAAUCAAUGCAGAGGAUGAUCAGGUGAUAAUUUUCUGUUUAAUAAUUAAUUAAAAAAUAUAUUAUCGCGAUUGAUCUUCAAUCAUCGAAAGAAUAUUAUAUUAGAAGUUGUAGUUGAAGGAACAAAAAUGUACGGUUUUGCUUUGCAGGUUAUUUUUCCACACUUGGAGGAACUGAAACUUGGCCGUUUAAGAAGCAUCAAAAAAUUAUGGCCCGAUCAAUUUCAGGGAAUGAAUUGUUGUCAAAAUUUAACAAAAGUGACCGUGUGGAGAUGUGAUGGUCUGAAGUAUCUGUUUUCAUAUUCUAUGGUUAAUAGUCUUGGGCAACUCCAACAUCUUAAAAUAAGUUUUUGUAAGUCAAUGGAAGGGGUAGUCAACAACACCACGGGGAGGUUAGGAGGAAGAGAUGAAUUUAAGGUUUUUCCUAAACUACACUCCCUGCAGCUCACUGGUCUUCCAAAACUAAGUAGCUUUGCCUCACCAGAAGACGUCAUUCACACUGAAAUGCAACCUCAAUCUUUCUUUGAUGAAAAGGUUUUUUUUUUUUUAAUUAAUUUUAUUCUCAAUAGUUAAUUUCUUCUUUCGUUGAGUCUUCAAAUCUAAUUGUAUUGAAUUUUUAACUUCAGGUACGACUCCCAAGUCUGGAGGUAUUACAUAUUGUUUGGAUGGAUAAGUUGAGAAAAAUAUGGCACCACCAGCUUGCUUCGAAGUCUUUUAGCAAAUUGAAAAAAUUGGAGAUAUCUGAGUGUGAUAAUCUACUGAAUAUUUUUCCUCCAUUGGUAAGAUUGCUCUAUUCAUUUUCAAUUUUUAUUUCAAAUAACAUUCAACAAUUAUUUUAAUCAUUUUUGUGUUUACAAAUAAUUUUCAUUCACAAAUUAUUUAUUGCAAGUAUUGUACUUCAAACUUCUGGAGGGAAAAAAAGUAUUGUACUUCAAAUCACCAUUCUGAACUCUGCAUUUUCAAUCUAAUUUAUAGGUUCACCUGCAUUAAAGUCAACAAUAUAAUUGUUUUAAACACGAUUUAACAGCAUAAUAUAAUUCAAUUUACUUGUUUUUUUUCUUAAAUCCUAAUAAAUAAGAUUUUCAGAAAUUAAAAGAUACUUAGUUACUCAGCUUUUAAGUUCACAAAUUCAUGAUGGUCAUUUUGAAUCGAUCGUCGAUUAAAAAGUUUCCUCAAAUAUUCACUCUAUAACAGUCCCAUGUUGAUGGCGUUAGGAAGUGUUUUCCAAAAAUGUUUUCCAUUUUUAAAAGCAUGAAUAUCGGGAAAAAAUGGGAAAUACAGCGUUUUAGUUUAGUUAUUUUAAAAAUAGGCAUGUUUGAAAAUUAAAAUUUUUUAAAAACUAGCAUCAAGAUGAAAAAUGAAUUUAGAAUAUUUAAAAAUUACCUGAAAUUCUUUCUCUAUUCCUAAUACUAAAUAGUGUAAAUACAUUUUCAUUAUCUUUAUUUUUCUGGACUUCUAUUUAUUUAUUUUUGUUUUAAUUUUUUCCUUUUUUCUUUAACAAAAAAUAUCUAGUAGACAUUCAUGGUUUGUUAUUUUUCAUAAAACAAUUGUAUGAUUUUGACAUACUUUGAAUCUAGUUGAAUGCUACUCUUUAUUUUCAGGUUGGAAUUCCCAAUAGUCUAGUGAAUCUUAAUGUAUCAUACUGCAAAAAAUUAGAAGAAAUCAUAGGACAUGUUGGAGAAGAAGCGAAGGAGAAUCGUAUUGCUUUAAGUGAAUUAAAACUUUUGGAACUUGAUCAUUUACCAAGGCUUGCCAGCUUUUGUUUGGAGAAUUACACUCUUGAAUUCCCAUCAUUGGAACGAAUUUCAACGACACAGUGUCCGAGCAUGAAGACUUUUUCUCAGGGAACCUUAUCCACACCAAAGCUGCACGAAGUGCAGGUGAGUAAAAAGGAAGUAUUAAUUUACCAAGCCUUUUUAUAUGUGCAUAGAAGAUUCUACACACAUUGCACACACGCACAGUUUACUACUAACAACCUCUAUAACAACCUUUAGCUGACUCAGCUGCCAUGUCAGCAUACUCAUUAACUAACUAAUUCUAUUCUUAACAGGAAGAGGGUGGAUUGCGCCGUUGGGAAGGCAACCUUAAUUCCACUAUACAAAAGUGUUACGAAGAAAUGGUAUGUGUUAAAUCGAUUCGUCGAAAUUACUUAUGCAUCUCCCUUGCACUUGCACAUUUAAGUAUAUACACCUGCCUUGUAUAUAUAGUUUUAGAAGUUAAAACACAAAACAUGUAAGUUUAAUGUACAUAUAUCUAAUGCCUUUCAAAAAGAAAAAAAUUUAUAUAUAUCCAGUGCAAUUGUUUUGGUUUGUGCAGAUUGGAUUCCAUGACAUACAGUAUUUGCAACUCUCACAUUUUCCACGUUUGAAAGAAAUAUGGCAUGGCCAAGCACUGCCUGUCAGCUUCUUCAACAAUUUAGUAGUGCUCACGGUGGAUGACUGCACGAAUAUGUCGAGUGCUAUUCCUGCCAAUCUGCUACGGUGCUUGAACAAUUUGGAAUGGCUGGAAGUGAGGAAUUGUGAUUCACUAGAAGAGGUGCUUCAUUUGGAAGAGCUAAAUGCUAAGGAAGAACAUAUAGGCCCCCGGUUUCCUAGGCUUAACAGACUAAGGCUCAUUGAUCUUCCAAAACUCAAAAGAUUCUGCAACUUCACUGGGAAUAUAAUUGAACUGCCUGAGUUGAGAUAUCUAACUAUUGAGAAUUGCCCUGAUAUGGAAACAUUCAUAUCCAACUCUUUAGUGCACGUGACAACAGAUAACAAGAAACCUCAAAAAUUAACAUCAGAAGAGAACUUUUUGCUGGCUCAUCAAGUACAACCUCUCUUCGAUGAAAAGGUGAUUAUUAUUAUUAUUAUUAUUAUUAUUAUUAUUAUUAUUAUUAUUAUUGUUAUUAUUAUUAUUAUUAUUAUUAUUUUUCCCUUCACUUUCGUUCGCAUAGAUGUAAUUUCAUUAGAAUCAAGCCAAAUUUAAUGACUCAUCUUUUUGCAUGUCAUCUUAAUUUAUAUCUGAUUUAACAAUAUAACCGCAGUUAUUAACUAUCUUUAUAGUAUGAAUUAUAAAAAUGUCUGAAAUUAAUUGGAUGCCUGAUAACACGAGGUGAUGAACUAUAUUAAUUAUGUGUGUUACAUCUCUGUUUUCCUAGCUAAUUCAUAUUGGAUUUAGCCUCAGAUUUCAUUUAUGUGUUUCAAAGAGUAAGCGAUUUGAUACUUUUAUUUGGGAUCCUACUGCAAAGCAUACUAAUUUGGAAAUAAAAUAUAAAAUGCCGUGAUCAACCUUGUCCAUAAAAUAUGCAGGGGAAGACGGCAGAGAUUGGAUACAUAUUUUCAUUUACAACUUAAUUUUGUUGAUUUUCAGGUUGCAUUCCCUAAAUUGUGGGGGUUAAAGCUGUCUAGAUUACCCAAUGUGUUGCAUUUCUGGAAGGAAAAUGCCGAAUCCAACAAAGUGUUUGCAAACUUGGAAACUCUAGAAAUAUCGGAAUGCAGUAAGUUGCAAAAAUUAGUACCACCUUCAUGGCAUUUGGAAAAUCUUGCGACUCUGGAAGUAUCGAAAUGUCACGGGUUGAUAAAUUUGUUGACGCUCUCAGCAUCUAAAAAUCUAGUGACUCUUCAAAGAAUGAAGAUAGCUGAUUGCAAAAUGAUAGAACAAAUCAUACAAUUGCAGGUUGGAGAAGAAGCGAAAGGUUGCGUUGUCUUCGAGGAAUUGGAGUACUUGGGACUUGAUUGUUUGCCAAGCCUAACAAGCUUUUGUUUGGGUAAUUACGCUCUUGAAUUCCCGUCCUUGAAACAAGUAGUUGUGAGACAGUGUCCAAAAAUGAAGAUCUUCUCUCAAGGAGUCUUAGACACACCAAUGCUAAACAAAGUGAACGUCACCGAAGAAGAAAAAGAUGAUGAUGAAGAAGAUGAUGAUGAUGAUGAUGAUGAUGAUGAUGAUGAUGAUGAUGAUGAUGAUGACGACGACGACGACGACGAUGAAGAAGAAGUAGAUGAUGAUGAUGAUGAUGUUGGGAAGGCAACCUCAAUGACACCAUAAAAAAAUUGUUCAAUGAAAUGGUGAGUAUCAAUUAAGUUUUGGUGCUAUUUAGCAAAUAAUUUUAUAGAAACCAAUGUGAUAUAAUAUGAUUGGUUGACUGAAAAUAUAUAAUAAUAAAAAAUAAAUAAAUUAUGAGGACCAUGUAAUGUUUUUGUUUAACUAAUCAUAUUAUAUCGCAUCAGUUUAUACAAUAUUGUUUGUGCACAAGAGGUGGUGGUCAUAUAAUUACUCUAGCUUUAUUAUUCUUAUGGUGGCAAUGUAUGCUUGCUUACACGAGUAAUUACAAAAUCUGCAGAAUUCUAAAGAAGAGAUUGAGCCAAUCCUUCAGGUACAGUGAAGAAGCUAUCCCGAACCAGGCCAAUCUCUUAUACAUGAUUUAGCUUGCUCGUUCUUCUGUACUUGAAUAAUUUGGUUCUACACAUAUUUACAAUUUUUUGCUCAUGCUACAGACUUGCAAGACACUUUGGAUUUUGUUUGAUGUAUUCUCUGUUUAAGAAAGGACUUGAAUUGAUGUUUCAUGUUUCAUGUUUCAUGCAAUAUUCGAUUAGAUUCUGCCUAAAUUUCUGUAUUAUUCAUUCAAUUGGUCUUUUAAGCAUUUGAUUUCUAACCUCUCCUGAUAGAAGAUCAUUAGCCAAAGAAAACAGCAUAAAAUUUGUGGCAUUAUGAGAAUAAGAAUUUUUUUAAGUAUAGUAAAAUUAUCUCAACCAUUGUUAAAAAUAAUUAAUCCGUCAAACUGACCUUCUCACACCAACAUGCUUUAAAUUAAAAGAAUUUCGUGAAAGUCAAGACCAUGUUAUAGAUCUCGUGGAAAUAAGUAAACCCGUAAUUUUUUUCACAGCAUCAUAAGAAAAAAUCAUUUUUUAAAAGUAUUUUUGUUAGCUGUUGAGUUUUAAUAGUAGUAGCUAUUAAACAAUAACAAUUAGUGUAUAUUAAAAAGUUGGAAACCGGUUGACACCACUCGGGAAUCGAGCAGUUCACUUGUUUGCGAGUAGAAACCAACUUUACUACUAUUUACAAUCAUACCAAAAAUAGUAACUAAAGAAUCAGGAAAUUUCCUAUUCACUAUUCUUCAUUUUUUAAUGCAAAAUUCCCAUUCGAAAACACCAAUGACUUUCAUUCAAAGUAAAUGAGAAAUUACAAUGAAAAUAGAAUCAAAAUACAUGUAUGUAUACCUAAAACAAAUGAUUUUUUUUAAUUAAAAAAAAAAAGCACAGUUGAGGUGAAAUGAAACCAGAGUCAUGAUAUCUCUGGUUCCAGCUUUGGGACAACAGCAGACUUGAGUUCUAUAUGAGAAACACGUACAGCACCAAUCAGCCGCUCCGGUAAUUCAGCUGUAGUAUUUGCCUGCAUACAGAAGAGCAAGAUAAAGAAGACACACACAGAAGCAUUAUAUCAUUCUGAGAACAUUCAAGUAUGCAAAAAUGCAAGUGGCAGUGCAAUAUCUCAAAAUCAUGUCUUUUCCCUUGUGUCCAUUUAGCAGUGGGGGAAAAAAACAAUCAUACAUACCUGUACAAGGAAAGCCAUAUCAACCACCAAUGUCGUAAUUACACCAAUUACAAGGCCCAAAACUCCAUUAGCAACAGUAGAAGAAUCGAUGUCAACAUCAAUCUACAGAAAGAUGAACAAUGUUAAACCUUUUUAAAGGUAUUGGACGCUAUUUGAAAGGGGAACAUCUCAUGUACUAUAGAAAUUCCAAGAGCAUUUACUUCUAAGUACUUGGGACCGCGAAUAUAGUUACAAUCAACUGCCUUCCCCAAUAAACAAGGGGUGAUUCCAACACUCUGGCGCACUAUCCAUGAACCCUGCAUGAUUCAGUGCUUAAAAUCAAGAACAAGUGCAAAACAAAUUCAAGAGGGUAAAAAGGACAUAAAGUUUGAAGGUACAACCCAUCAAUACAUUCACACCUAAAUGCAUGCCUUCUUUGUACAAAUUGAAGUGUACCAUGCAGUAAAGGGUAAGUAUACGUUAAUAUAGUCCUACUACAUGAAGGCCAAGAUGGAUACCUUAGGAACAUAUGGAAUAAGUUUCAACCUACUAUUGCGAAAUUCAUCAUCGCCAUCAACAAACCGUUGCAAAAGUGAUCCCGUAACCAAUUGCCUUGUAACAAAAUAAAAUACCAUACUAUAAUGUGUUGAACCAGGAACCUGCAGAUGCUUAGGUUACAACUAUACAACCUCCCAAUACAAUAAGUUUGAAACUUAUACCUUCUGAAAUGAAACAAACUUUCUUGAAGAUUAAAGAUCAGUGAGAAAAGCCCUUUUUCAGAAGCAACCUACAUAUUUUAGAAUAGGGCUCAGUGCGUUAUAGAUUCAAUGAACCAUGAGAAGUUAUUUACAUUGUUGUAUCUCACAGGCAGUAUUUUCUCCUAAUGUAUCAAUGGAAAAUGCUAGUGAAUUGAAUGAAGCUAGAGCAGAGCAUGAUGUUGCUGUGUAGCUGACUUUAGCAGAUCAACUCACUAAGCUGACCUGGCAAAGUUAUUUAGCUAGUUGAGCUGAUGUGUCAAAUUAGUUAUGCAGCAAAUGGUUAUGUGAUGUAACAAACUCGUGUGUGUGUUGAGCAAAUUGUAGCUUAAUAUAAAUAUCAGUCUAUAUUCAUUCAGUUGUAAUGCUAAAGUAAUAAAGGUUCUACAAACUUCUUUACAGAGCUUUCUUUUAUUUUCUUCAUUUUCUAGCUUGCCAAACAAUACAAAACUAAGUUUCUUUCAUGGUAUUAGAGCCAUAAAUGGCGAAUACAGUUCAAAAUAACAACUCUUUUAGUUUUGUUACGCCUGUAAAGCUAGACCAAAACAACUUCAUUUUAUGGCGCGCACAAAUUUUAGCAUCGAUCUAAGGAAACGGUCUGGAAGGGUUUAUCAAUGGUGAUCAAGAAUGUCUUGAGCAGUUUCUUUCUUCUGGAAACAACAAUGGAGCUGAAAUUUUAACUGAAUCUGAAUCCAAAUCUAUUAAUCCAGAGUUCAUAGCUUGGAUGAAGACUGAUCAACUUCUGUUGAGUUGGAUGAUGUCGUCGAUACAGCAAAAUCUACUUGCUACUGUGAUUGACUCCACAACUUCAAAACAGCUCUGGGAGACUCUUACUAGUAUGUUUAUUUCUUAUCUUAAUCACAAGCUAGAAUUCAAACACUUAGAAUGCAGAUUCAAACUAUUAAGAAAGGUGCAAUGCAUAUGUCUGAUUACUUUGCAAAAGUAAAAUGUAUAGCUGAUACUUUAGCUCUAGCUGGAAAACCUGUUGAGUUAAGUGAUCUUGUGAUGCAUGUAUUAACUGGUCUUGAUUCAUCAGAUUAUGAAUCUUUAGUCACAGCUGUUUUAGCUCAAGGUGAGAAGAUAACAUUAGAUGAACUAUAUCCUUUGCUAUUGAAUCAUGAAAAUAGAGUUGAGCAAAAGAAAGGAAAAAUUGCUGGUGAUGUGAUGCACAAUAUGACAGCAAAUAUUGCUCAGAAGAACUCAUAUGCUGGAAAGAAUAAUGGCAAUUUUCAAAAAAAUUAUGGAAAUAAUUCUGGAGGUGGAAAUAAUUCUAGGUAUGGAGGUUUUAGUGGAUAUGGAUAGGGUCAGUUUAAUAAUGGUGGUAAUUCCUCUGAAAUUGUUUGUCAAAUCUGCUUCAUACCUGGUCAUGCAGCCAAUAGAUGCAAAAAUAGGUACAAUUCAUCUUUUGUUCCACAGAGAAACUAUGGCAGAGGUAAUAUGAAUGGUGGCAGAGGUUUUAAUCAAGGGCAAUAUGGUAGAGGAAGAGCUUUUAAUGGUAAUGGUGGCAGAGGUUUUGGAGGUUUUGGUUUAAAUGCUGGUUUUGGCUAUGCACCCAGGGGUUUUGGCUAUCAAGGAAAUAUAGUGUAUCCAGAUAGUAAUCCUUCUGCUUAUUACUCAUUCACCCCUGGACCAUCUACUUUUGUUUCUAGUCAAGGAAAUAAUAAUCCUGGACAGUCAAGUGCUUCAUCUUCCUCAGCUAUGCCUUCUUCACUUCCACCAGAACACAUUGAAGAUCCUUCAUGGUAUAUUGAUAGUGGGGCAACAAAUCACAUUACAAAUGAUCUAGGUAAACUUCUGGAUUCACAAGUUUAUACUAGUACUGAAAAAUUGUUUGUUGGAGAUGGAAAUGCAUUAGCUAUUACACAUGUAGGAUCAGUUGUGCUAAAUACUUCAACUUCUAAACCUUUAAGAACCAUGUUCUUCAUGUCCCUUUUAUUACUAAGAAUUUGCUUAGCAUUUCAAAAUUAUUGGCUAACAAUCCAGUUACUGUUGAAUUUCUUAGUGAUUUGUGUUUUAUAAAGGCUAGGAACACAGGGAAAAUUUUACUUGAAGGUGUUGCUAAAGGUGACUUGUAUAGAGUCUCUUCACAUGUUGCUGCUCAUUCAGUCUUUCUCAAUUCAGUUGGUCAAAAUAAAGUUCACUCUCUUUGCUUGUUCUCCUGUUUUCAAUUCUGAUCAGCUCACUGCUGUUAGUUCUUAUGAAUUGAAUAAAAAGUCAUGUCUGUCAAUUGUUACAAAGAGUUCUAUUGAUGUAAAUCUUCUUCAUAGAGAAAUUAGGACGCCCAGCAUCUUAUACUCUCAAAACUAUACUCAAAACUUGUAACAACUCUACUGCUUAUAAUAAAAUUGAAAGCUUGAAAUUUUGUUCAGCAUGUCAAUAUGGGAAAAAUCAUAUGCUGCAUUUUGAUUCAGUUGAAACAAAAACUUCAGCACCCUUAAAAGUGAUAUAUGCAGAUCUUUGGGGUCCUUCUCAUGUAUGUUCUACCCAAGGAUAUAAUUACUACUUAUCAAUCUUAGAUGAUUAUAGUAGAUUUACCUGGAUAUUUCCAUUGUCAGCCAAAUCUGAUGCUCUUGAAGUGUUUACCAAUUUCAAAAUUUUUAUUGAAAAGCAUCUUCAACUUCAAAUCAAAACUGUCCAAACUGACUGGGGAGGAGAGUUCAGAACAUUUUCCUCAUUACUCAAUGCUUCUGGUAUCCAUUUUAGACACCCUUGCCCACAUAUUCAUCAUCAAAAUGGAAGAAUUGAGAGGAAACAUAGACACAUAGUUGAUGUAGGUCUGACCUUAUUAGCUCAAGCACAUUUACCACUCAAAUUUUGGUGGAAUGCAUCCCACACAGCUGUCUAUUUGAUAAACAGACUUCCAACUCCAAUUCUAAACAACAUUUCUCCUUUCCAAAAGUUAUUUCAUCAUCAACCAGAUUAUUCAACACUUAAAACCUUCGGUUGUGUUUGUUAUCCAACACUCAGACCAUACAAUAGACAUAAGUUUGAUUUCAGAACUACAAGAUGUAUAUUCAUUGGCUACAAUUCACAACACAAGGGAUAUCAGUGUCUUCACUCUUCUAAGAGGGUUUACAUUUCAAAUCAUGUCACCUUUGAUGAAAAUUCUUUUCCUUGUGAGUCUGGAGCAGAUUUUCUUCACUCUCUUCAAGUUGUCAGUCAACAAAAAAUUAUAAGUCUUCUUUCAAUUCCUCUGUUCCUUCUGUUACUCAGUUACAAGCACCUUUAGCAGCAUCAUCAGAACACCAUCAAAAUGUUCAUCAUUCAGAUGCUCCUACUCCCUCACCAAAUUCUACUCCACUUUAUUUUUCUGAUAAUUCCAACUCAGCUUCUUCUUCUUCACCACCACAUAAUUCACCUCCACAUACAUUGCCACAACCUGCAUCAACUGGUCAUCCAAUGAUAACCAGGUCAAAAGCAGGUAUUUUCAAGCCAAAAAUUUAUUUGUCAGCUUUAUUAGCCUAGAAAUCAGAACCAACUUCUGUUUCCCAAGCACUUUCUAAUCCUAUGUGGUAUAAGGCUAUGCAAGAAGGGUAGCACUUAAAACUAAUCACACCUGGGAUUUAGUUUUACCUGCUACUCCAGUGAAGAUAGUUGGCAGCAAAUGGGUGUUUCGAAUAAAGUACAACUCAGAUGGUUCAAUUUCAAGAUAUAAAGUCAGGCUUGUUGCAAAGGGGUUUCAUCAAACACAUGGGAUUGACCAUACAGAAACUUUUAGUCCAGUGGUUAAAGCUUCAACUGUUAAGAGUUAUUCUUAGCUUAGCAGUAUUGAAUCAAUGGGUGAUUAGGCAAGUAGAUGUUAAUAAUGCCUUUCUAAAUGGCAUUUUAAUUGAAGAGGUGUACAAGGCUCAACCUGAAGGUUUUGUUGACUCAACUAAACCUAAUCAUAUCUGCAAGCUGAAUAAAGCUUUGUAUGGCUUAAAACAGGCACCUAGAGCCUGGUUUGAUAGAUUCAAGGAUGCAAUGAUCUCUAAACGGCAUUUCCAACAUUCAAGGUCUGAUAACUCUCUGUUUCAUGCCUGGAACAGUGGUCAUCUAACUCUUGUUUCGGUCUAAGUUGAUAUUAUCAUCACUAGUUCCAGUCCAACACUAAUUCAGCAAGUUAUUCAGAGUAUGAAUCAAGCCUUUGCUUUAAAAGACAUGGGGGAACUUAGCUAUUUUCUGGGGAUUGAAGUCAGCAAGUCUUCACAAGGGGUUUCCUUGACACAAGCAAAGUAUAUUACUGACAUUCUGGAUAAACAUGGCAUGACAGAUUGCAGUCCUGUGCCUACUCCAAUGUCUACUGGUUAUUAUCUCACAAAAGAAUCAGGAGAGCUAAUUGAUAAUGUUUCUCAAUAUAGGAGUGUUAUAGGAGUUCUUCAAUAUGUUACUCUUACCAGACCUGACAUUGCUUUCUCUGUAAACAAGCUAAGUCAAUUCCUUUCAAGUCCUAGAACACAACAUUGGGAAGCAUGCAAAAGGUUAUUGAGGUACUUAAAAGGCACUAUAUAUCUUGGGCUGCAAUUUAAUAACAAAGGAGCUUUGCAACUACAUUGUUUUUCAGAUUCUGACUGGGCUUGUGAUCGUGAUGAUAAGAAGUCAGUGGCUGGCUUUGCUGUUUACCUAGGCCCUAAUCUAGUCUCAUGGUCAUCAAAGAAACAAGCUGUUGUUUCUAGGUCCAGCACAGAGGCUGAGUAUAGAUCUCUUGCUCAUGCUGCUUCAGAGGUUCCCUGGAUAUAAUCUUUACUUGGUGAACUUAACAUCAAAUUGAGCUCUACUCCUAUGAUGUGGUGUGAUAAUCAAGAAGCAAUUGCUUUAGCUUACAAUCCAGUCUAUCAUGCUAAAACUAAGCAUGUCGAAUUGGAUAUACAUUUUAUCCGAGAUAAAGUUACUGCUAUAGAGAUUGAAAUAUGUUUUGUGCCCAGUCAAGAUCAAACAGCAGAUGUGUUGACUAAGGCUUACUUUCAAACAGUUUAGUUACUUAAGAAGGAAGCUGAAUGUUCAUCCUAAACAUUUUAGCUUGAGGGGGGAUGUUAGUGAAUUGAAUGACGUUGGAGCAGAGCAUGAUGUUGUUGUGUAGCUGACUGUAGCAGAUCAACUCACUAGGCUAACCUGGCAAAGUUAGUUAGCUGGUUGAGCUGAUGUGUCAAAUUAGUUAUGCAGCACUUGUGUGUGUGUUGAGCAAAUUGUAGCUUAAUAUAAAUAUCAGUCUGUAUUCAUUCAGUUGUAAUGCUAGAGUAAUAAAGGUUCUACAAACUUCUUUACAGCGCUUUCUUUUAUUUUCUUUCAUUUUCUAGCUUGCCAAACAAUACAAAACUAAGUUUCUUUCAGAAAAGGAAAAAUAAAAAGAAAAGAAUAGUUACUUGUGCAGUACAGCCUUGACGCCUAGCUACAUGGUCCAUUCUCUUUGUGUCUUUGAACCAAUCAACAGCAACAAGAUCCAUUAAAUGUUUUCCCGCAGGUAUCUGCAGUUACAAAUUGCACAAAGCACAAGAGCCAACCAAACUACAUCAUAACCUGUCGACCUAGCAUAUGCAGGAUAUAUAAAUACCAUAACAAACAACCAAAAUAUGGGGGAACCUUUGUUUUGUCAUAACAAAAAUGCUUGCUACGAACUCUAAAGUUAUUUCCACCAGAAAGUUUCCAGCAGUCACGAGCAUUAUCACAGUCAUCGUGUCGCAGGUUGCCUGAAAAAUAAGACAAAUCAAUUUGAUCAGCCUGCUCUUCCUCUAGGGUAGCAACUAAUUGAAAAUUAUAAACCAAAAAAAAAAAAAAAAUCAAUACCAUAAAAAUCCACUAAUGAGGACAUUAGCCAAAUAUACAAAAAUGAAUACUUAUCAUCCACCUGUCCUCUUGAAAUCAUUCUCAAUCUUUUUUUCAUUUGUCUGAAAUCCCAAGGAAAAAUAUGUAACUAAUACUUCCCAUUCAUGACUAUUGUCUGUCAUAUAAACAUGACAUUUAAUUGAAAUAGUAAAAUUAUUUAAUUAUUUUAAUUAACUGUUAAUCCUAUAAAUUAUUUUUGUUAAAUCUAGCAAGAAUAACUAACAUUUCUUUAAGAUAUAUUUUGGCGGUAAAUUAAAAAAAAAUUAAUUAUUUGGCGGGAAUUAUUGAAAUUGGAGCCAUUUUUUUGUGGGAAUUGAAAUAUAUUCUUUAAAUUAUUAUAUAAAAAGCAAAAUGUACAUACACACACAUAUAUAUAAUUUAUAUAUAAAAAUUCUCUAAUUUGUUCACAAGUAUCAUAGAUUAUAAUUCAGUUAUGAAAUAAAAUAACUACAAUAAUUAUAGUUAAGUGAAUACUUCAUUAAUUCUUAAUUUGCUUCCUAACAUUAAAUGAACUUGAGUCAGCCACCUGAAUCAACCAGUAACAACGCCUGAGUCAACCAUCUGAAAAAACCAGCAACCCUAGCUGAUUCAAGCACCUGCAAUUAACAUCAACACAACAGGAACAAUCGUAAAUCAGCACCAAGAACAGACCAAACCGCCAUCAAAUGCCACAAAACCAAACAGUCUGCUACUGCCAUCAAAUGCAAGCAAGCAUAUGCAACAAAACCAGAUGCAAGUGAAAUUCUGGAGAAUAUCGGAUAAACCAAACCAAAUGCCACACUUCUAGUAAUUAGACUAGAUGCAGUGUUCAAUUAAACUAAAUGUAGUCUCAUAUUACAUUCAAAUUUUCUAAAAAAACCAGUGUUCCAUCAGAGAAGCACCAAAACCAAACCAAUCUAAUCCAGCAUAAUUACCAGCUCAACCCAAAACAAUUACACAUUAUAUUGACAUAUCAAAAUUCGCUAUCAAAACAUAGCCAAAUAAAUGACAAUAAACUGAAAACAGACCCGAACCAACUGAUGUUGCAGCCCUAGUAGUCAUUGUCCGUUCCACUGCCAUAGGAGCGAGGGUAGGCUCCGUUGUUGAUGAGUGAGUAAGAUAAGGCUCCAAAUCAAUAGUUCCACCUCCUUUCUGCAAUUCAAAAAACAGAAAUUCAUAUAUGUAAAACUAUUAAAAAGUGUGAAACAACCUGUAAGUAUUCAACUUCUGUCAACUCAAUAGCACUUACUAAAGUUUUUAUACAGAAGAAAAAGGCAUUUUAAGUCCAAAAAAUUAGAAUUAUUGGUUGAACUCCAACUCCAUCAAUCCAUGCAACCAUCGAACCUUUAACGAAAAAAUGAAGCAUAAUUAACAAGACAUCUGAAUCAGAAAGAUUGUGCUUUGAUUUGGCACGAGGUGUUGGAAACAACUUAACAAAUCUAGACACAAUCUAUAACCAUCAAGUCCAAACAAAAGUCAGGAUCUAAAAUACUUUGAAAAAUCAGAAAAACCGCAAACUAUCAGUUUCAAUUUCUUUUUCACCCAUUGUAAGCUCAAACUGAAGGUAGCGGCGCUACCUUUAAACAUCAUUUGGGCUUAUACAUGUGACAUUUGCUCAUGAACAACUAAAGUUGAAUAAGAUUUUUAUAUGAAACGGAAUAUAAAAAGUCAAAGUAGAAUAUGACAGGAGCUACAAUAUAUUAUUCAGCAUUAGCAUUAUGUAUAAAAUAAAUUUAGAGGCAUCAUAUUCAUUCACAAUCUUGCAGAGGUAAUACCAGAUUAUGGCACGCAACUCUUGAAUAGCAGAUAAAGGAGGAGAUGCAGUAGGAAGGUAGUAACUUGCUUGCAUGAGAACUAAAAAGUAAUCUCCCAAGAUCAAUUAUAGAUCUCAUAAAACAAAAACAGUGAGGCAAACACAAUUAUUGUGAACAAUUAUUCAUAGAACCACAUACCAGCAACAAGAUCAAAGUCAUCUGUGUAUAAAUCGAUUCCCCACAGCUGACUGCCUCUGACCUAAACAUAAUGAAAUUACAUAAAUAAGAAGUAGAGUCAUAAAAUAUGCUGCUGUAACAGCUAUCAAUAAAUUUCCAGACAAAUGGAAUUUGAUAUGUAAGGCUAUAACUAGCAACACUUCAAAAUAAUUUGAAGUAGCAUGAUCUUACUUUAAGGAUCAAUACUACAAUCUUUCAGAAAAAUUAAAGUCUAACCAAAAUUAAAACCUUAAACAUACUAAAAUCUGGUAAAUAGACCUAUAGGAAUUCCAAUGACCUCCAAAAUAUUUGAAAAAAAAAUUAAUUUACAGCAAAAAAUGUUAAAGAUUUGUAAAAUGGAGGCCCACACUACUAUUCAAAUUACAAAAGAGGAAAGGGAGCUGGCCAUUAAAUGAUAAAGGCAUGCAUAAAGAAAUACGAGCACCACAUUAAGUGAUAAAGGCAUGCAUCGAGAAAUACAAAAAAUAUGCCCAUAAAGACGUCCACUCAAGCCUUAUAAGCGGCUUUAUGCAAAGGAAAGCCAAUUAGUUAACAGUAAAUGAAUUUCAAGGUGCAAUAAUUAAACUCCCUGAUCAGCACAUUUAAGGUUCAUGCAUUUCUACAAAACAUGUAAAUCAUAAGAACUUUUUUGGUCCAAAUGCUAACCAGUAAUUAAGUAGAUUAUCAAAGUUGUCACAGAACAAGCACCACAUUGAUUGCUAUGCAAAAGAUGAAAGUAAAAGUUAAUACUUUAUUUUAUUUUACUUUUCGAGAGUUUUGAUCAUCAUGUGCAAAAUAGUAGUAUAACUUGCUCAGUGUUAUCUCAAAAAGCUUGCUUAAAAUACCUAUUAGCACCAGUCCAAGUUGUCAAAUAAAUCCUUAUCUAUCCAUUCAUCUCUGACCUUGCCAAAAAGAUUUAAACGAGCAUCUAUAUUCUCACUCCAAUCUUUCACAAUCAUAGGCUUUAACUUAGACCAGUUCUUCAAUAUCCCUUCCACUGUGAGCCCCUCGAAAACCUUGUAAAUUGAAUCACAUUUAUCAUCAGUUCCAAAUCCAUCUGUCAAAAGGCUAAGCAAAUGAAUAUACAAUCAACACCAUUCUUCCAAACGAAUAUACAGUCAACACCAUUCUUCUAAACACAAACAAAGUUUGAACGUAUGACAGAUUUUUAGCCAUUUAAUAUUCCAUCAAAUAUAAUUAGAUCACACCUACCAAGGAUUUUUGAAAAGAAUGCAUUCUCAUCUUAAGCAGCAACCUCACCAGUAACACAUUUUCAUACCCUGUUUCCACCUCUGGUCGCACCACCAAAAAAAAUUCAGUACUAAUUAGCUUCAACAGAGUCUAUUUUUUAUUUCUUUUUUUUCCGAAAUAAACCUCCAUUCUUAUACAUAAAAUUAAAAUAUCAAUUAAAUAAACAAGGUCUAUGCUUACUAGUAAAACACGUCCAUUUUCAGGUAGAGGCAGAUAAUAAAAGAAAAUUAAAAUUGAGAUAAAAUAAGAAGAGCUUACUAUGUGCAUUUGAUCAACAAUCCAAUCCUCAACGAUGGAAUCGAUGCCAUCAAAUAAACAUGACUUAAUCUUGAAACCAUAAACUGCACUAAGCAUAGCACCAAAGCCAGAGCGUGACUAUAAAGAAGAAAAAUAAAAAGAAGGAAAAGAAGAAUUAAAUCAACAUGAAAUUGAACUUUUGUUUUAUCUUCCACAAGCAAGAAAUUCAACUGGAACAAUACAAAAUAUGAAAUUUUUAGCAAUCUUACUAGCAUUAUGCACAAAUCUCAAUUCACGACAAAUAGGGGAAUGAAUCACUAACAUCACUCAAUUCAUAUAUUCAAAUAAUGUAUCCCCACUCCUAACAAGCAACGUGCUACCACAGUCGAUUAGUUGUUAGGGUUAAGGCUUACCAUAGAGAACUGGAUGGCGCUAACUAAAUGACAAGUUGAAACGGCAUCUGCAAUCGUAUUGAAUGACAUUGAACCGCGAGGUAGGGUUUAAAUGAAUACCGGGCAGAGAUAAAUUGGUGUGGUGAAUUAGGGUUUUGUGGCUACGUUUUAUUUCGAUUGAAAAAAGGAAUUUGAGCCAGGCUUUAAUAUGUAAAUUUUCGCUUAGUUGAAACAGAGGAAAGCUUUUGGGUUAU
rnacentral:lncRNA from 1 species